rnacentral:lncRNA from 1 species
UUUUACUCCCUUUUUUUUUUCACCCCAAAAAAAACAAAAAAAAAAAAACAAAACUUGUACCUCAUGCCUUCAAAGUUUCUGUAAGCAUGCUUGCCAAAAUCUCUAGAUCAAAGAUUCCAACCUUUUCUGCAACCAGGGGGCCCUUUUUGCCAUUGUCUAUUUCUAAAAGUUCCAAACGGGAAAAAUGUUAGGAUUUGCUUUCUUUCUGAGUAAUCCUCUCUGGCACUGUGUAAUAGUCCAGGGAAGUCUGAUAUUUAUGACUUCUUUAGAGCAGCCUAGAUAAUAUUUUAAUUCAUUUUUACCAACUAAAAUAACUGAGGUUUGUUUGGCAUUCCAAUUUUGUAGAUGCUGGGAGAGAAUCUCUACCCACUUGUAGAACAGCUGGAGCCUGAUGCUGCAGCUAAGGUUACGGGAAUGCUUUUGGAGAUGGAUCAGACUGAGGUUUUGCACUUGCUCGAAUCACCAGAAGCUCUGAAAGCGAAAGUGGCUGAGGCAAUGGAGGUUCUGAGGAAUGUUGCUCAGCAACAGCAGGCUGGUAAUCCGGCUGAUCAACUAGCCUCAUUAUCAUUGAAUGAUAACUUGGUUUCUUAAGUUGCGAGCUGCAGUAUUUCAAAAAUGCUAGUUUUGAAUUUAUUCUAGAUGUGGCUUGGUUACGGUUAUAAGACUUGGAAGUGGAUGAUUCUAUAGGCUAGGUUACUGUUUUGGUUUUGGUUUUUAUUUUUAUUUUUAUUUUUUUGGGUUUAACUGUUGAGAGUUUCAGGAUUUAUUUGAGGAUUUGUGACAUUGAAGAUUUAUGAUUGUUGUGUGCGCGUGCAAUAUUUUAUUUGCUGUGUUUUGGUUAUUAGGGUCCAGCUAUGUUGCAACAGUGGUACGGUACCAUUGUUGCUUUCAGCCAUUGGAUCUUGCUAAUACAACUGUACAACUAUAGAUUCAAUGGCUGGUUGCAACUGUGGUACCAUACUACUGUUGCAACAUAGUAUUGCCCUGGUUAUUAUCUCAAUAUGAGAUGUGGCAGUUGCAGCCCAUCAAUUGGGACCUAACCCAAGUGCUGGGAUCAUUGGCAGUAGUUUAGAUAAAGACUAAUAAGCUGCCAGUAAUCUGGUCUCACUUGGACAUGAUCAUGGUUUCAAGUUCCUUUGAUAACUGAAACGAGAAGCCAGAUGUUGAGUCACACGAUAGAAAUGGCUGUUGGGUCCAACUAAAUCGGGUGGAUUCUGAAAUUUUAACAUUAUUAUCUCACUUGUGUUUUAGCUCAUUAACAUAAUCAUUGAUUUUUUUUUUAAUUAAAAAAAAUAAAGUCGCAAGACAUCAAAUUAACUACUUUAUAAGUUGCCUUUCGGUUUUUAAUUUGAGUCUGACAUGUGACAGCCCUUCCCUCAGCUGGUUUUGGCUUGUACCUCGUAUUUGUUGUAUCGGUGGGAGCAGAUGAAGCUGACCCUAUUAGGAAAAGGGUAAAGGGGUGGGGUGGCUUCAACCCAGGAGCUCCAACAUUGAAGUAGGCAGCCUCAGUUAGAAGUUCCGCUCGAGUGAUUUUUUUAAAAUAAAACCUAUAUUCAGAUAAUUAAACAAGCAUUAUAAUUGGUGAGAGUAUAUUGGAAGUGUAAAAUAAAUAAUAACUGAAUUAAAGGAAAGGGUAAGCCGUAAGAAUAAUAAUAUUUUAGUUCUUCGUCUGAAUUUACGUGUGCCAAAUAAUUGUACAAAGUUGAGUGAUUAUUUUGUGACUAAUGGAAGUUGAGCCACAUAUGUAUGGAUAAGGACGAGACGCCCACACUUGAUCUGAUUGUUCUUAGCCUGAUUUAGCAAUAACAGUUCUGGUAGUUUUGGUUCUAAUUUAACCUAAUGUAAGCUAGUGGGCUGAUGAAUCUGGUAAGAUGAGGUCACGCAUGCAAGCGGUGGAAAGCCACCAGUAUCAUCAUAACGAAAGAUGUUUGUCGGAGAAUUUUGUGAUGUUAGAACAUUUUUCUUUGAAAAGUAAAUGAUGUACAUUUAUUUCUCUUUGAAAGCAUAUGAUGUUAAAACAUUGAUUACUUAUUUCAUUUUCUGUGUCUUGUGUUUUUUGUUCUUUGGUAUUGUGAUUUUGUACACUUUUUGAGCUUUCUAUUCAAACUUUUGUGACGAUUAUCUGGUAAGAUUAUUCUUAUUCAAUAAAAAUAAUCGUGCCAAGAUAUCAAACGAACGAACAGAUGUUUGAUUUUGGUAUUUUGACCCGAUAAAAGCAGAGAUUUAUUUUCUUUAUAUGUAUAGUAUAGUCAACUACUAACUGGUUUGGUAAGAAAUAUUUAGAAGCUCGAGAGAACACGAAAACAAUCUUUAUAAAGGUCGCAAGAAAUCUUUAUGGUAGGCAAAAAUAAGCAGACAUUGAAUAUUGAACAUUUCACAACAAUUGUUUUAUAUGCUAAUUUCUAAGUUAAUAGUUUUCUAAUUGAUUGAUGUAUUAUAUGCACAAGAUGGACCAUAUCUAGAGAGCUAUUGAGGGUAAACAAAGCUAUCAACAUAAUUUUAAAACUAAGUUAUCCUCCAAUAUUCAUCUCAUAAUGCCAUGACCCCAAAAGGACGCACAGACUUAAUACCCUAUUACAAGCUGGCUGCCACCAUUUGCUUCAGUGAGCCCGCCUCAGCCUCAAUCCUACGUCAGCUUCUCGGUCGGAUUGUAUUAAACCAGUGCCGUGCGAACCUGAAUUUUGCAUUUCAGAGGAAGUCCCUUCAUCGUUUUGCUUCUCUAGAAUAUCUUCCCCAAAAUUAUGGAGUCUGCGGCCGAUAAGAUAUCGGUCAUCGCGUAUGGAGUUGUGAAGGUUAGUGAACCAGACAUGGAAUCUUUUUGCGCAAAACCACAAUACACUGAAGCAGAGACAUCCCAACCAUGCAAACCGAUAGACUGCUGAAUUUACAACUAGUGGGUAACCAAGCACGGGGAAUACGCCUCGGGCUAGGACGUAAGGUACGCAUAAAGCUGUUAGUAGCUUCAUUAUGAUUGGGAACACAAUUUCACGGAGCACCCAAAGACCUUGCAGCCUUGAGAAACCAUCUUCUCUCACCCUUUCGAAUUUUAUUCGCCAGCUUUCAUCUACAAGCGGCAUCAUAUGAUCCAACAUAACCUGUUAAAAUAACAUUGGGAAGAAUCCACAAUCCCUUGUUUAGAAGACAUUAAAAUGUAUCACAAAAGUGUGAUGGAAACAAAAAGCAAUAAAAGACUCACCAGCCUAGUCCAGAUCUUCAGAAAGAUGAGACCCAAAGCCCAAUCCUGGUAAAGGAGAAAAACUGGGCUCUCAUCCACGGGCACUCGCAUUGGUACAAUUACCAAGAGUUCAAACAGAAGCCCAAUUAACACCGGAAUGACAAAAAUCUGGAACAUAAUAGCGGCAAACGGAUUGAAGAGUUACAACUCCAAUCAUUAAAAAAAAAAAAAUCAAUUAAUAAAAUCUUUUAAAAGAAUAAUGACCAGAAUAACCCUUACCCAUAUUGACAAUAAUGCAGUGCUCUUCACAACAAUACCACACCACUUCCAUAUUUGCUUAAACAGAAUCGCUGCCCUCUUUGUUCUAACAUGUUCAAUGGAAUAUCUGGCUCCAGCCACAGCAGUCCAAAUAACAUAGCUUCCAAUGAUGAAAGCAUAUAGAUCUAAUGGAAAGACAAGAAAAUAUGUUAGCAUUUUCAUCAAAAAGCAUGAAGCAUGGGAACUAUAAGUAACCCAAUCGACAAUGUUACCAUUGCAUUUGACGCCAUGAGUAAUUGGAAGCAGGGGAAUGGCAUUGAAGAGUGCACGCCCAAGUGAAAUUGGCACAACUAUUAAGGCGGAGUUAAUAACAAGCAGAGUCAUCCAGGCAAUCACCAACAAGAGCACGAUGCGAAGAACAAAGCCGUACCUGCUAUAAUACAAUAAACAAUAGAGGGUAAGCAGAAGUGUCAGAAACCAAUCAAUACAGUUAUGACAGAAUAUUGAAAAUACAAAGAAUAAAAAAAGAAGUCUGGGACUGGAUUAUGGCAGAUCAAGGCGACAAGCAUGGUCCUACAAUGACAAGUGAAACUUUUCAAUUAUCAAAAUAAGAACACAAUUAAUUUUAGGAAAUUUUUUUCACUUAUAAAUGCCUUUCAAGGGUGCACUCGACAAAACUCCAAUGCCAGGAAGAAAUUCAGUCGAAUGUUGCUCACUGUAACAUAUACCCACUCGUAAUGUGAAAAAACAAAGUUCCUGAAACUUACUCUGAGUCAGAUUGCUCAUCACCAUCAUACUCUUCUGAAACAUUAGAGUUUCCCGAUACAAGAGCGCCUCUAUUUAUAUCAUCAACAGCUGGCAUUCCAAUCAGGGCUCGAUCAGGUCCUAAUGGUAUUACCUGUAGUCCAUCACGUCUAAUCUCAAUAUUUCUAUCACGCCUUAUGUCAAUAUUUCCAUUCUCCUGGCCACCAUUGUCCUCAGGUCUGGGCAACAAAAAGUCCGUCAGACCAAGUGCCCAGCCAACAGCUGUAAACCAAUAGCGAAGAAGAGACUUGAUUGUUGUGCGCAACUUAAAAUGCUCAAUGGCAAACGGAAUGCAGAUUUGAAAGAGAAGCAUGUCAGCUGGUAUUUCAGUAAACGGGUCGGAUACACUGCAUAAACAGUUAUGCAUUCAGCAUAUAAAAGAUGAUAUAUCAACAAGGAAAGAAACUGCAGCAAAAGAUGCCACUGUAAAGUGUCUGCUUACGAAAUGUCAAGAGGAAAAAUAGAAGUAGCCAUGCGCAUAGCAAGUUUGACUGGCAAAAAUACCAGCAUCACAAUCAAACUCCCAUAAACUGCAACAGACAGCAGAACUCUGCGAGCAUGCUUGUGUACAGGAUCAUCAAUUAGAUCACGGAAUGGAUUAUAGUUUGGAUCAGCAGGAUCCCGUAGGAAGUACAGAACUCCAUUACGCAGAACCUGUCAAUGCAAGUGAAGAAAGGUCGUAAGAAUAACACACUCAGACAACAAAUCCAGAACUAAAAAUGAGAUGGCAAGGAGUAGUACCCCUCGAAGAAGGCUGACGAAUAUGCUUAUCUGUAACAUGUAAACAAUUCCUACAACCCAAUGAACCAAUGAGCUUGCCAAAGGAGAGACUGAGAAGAACUGAACUCUUUCAGACAUUGACUUCCCAAACAUCCUUAUAGUGCAAACAUCCAACCACCAACCACACAUCAAAGGGAAAACCCCAAGUUCAAUGACCAAAAGGAAAGCUACCUUAAUCAUGGUCAUUAAAUGUCUCAUUGCAGCCAAGAACUGCCUAAAGAGAGAUGGAAUUGUCUCCGCUAUAGAAGCAAUACCAUAAAACCUCCCCAUAGUCAAAGGCUCGCCCUUGGUAUACCGAAUCAAAGCAACAAUGCCAAGGUAGAAGAAGACUAGAGAGAAUAUAAACAUGUAUCCAAUAGCAAGAGUUGUAACAUCAGAAAGCCGUGAUGUUCCCAUCGUUGCCUCUUUCAACAUAUCUGCUGAAAGUGAGGCACUUGUACUAUUUGCUGCUUCAGUUAUUUCACUGGCAUUUCCUUUUAACACAUCUGCAACUUGGCCAAGAAGACCACCUUCUUGCCCUUCGGAUGUUAAAUUUGUCACAGCACUUAGUGCAUUCUUCAAUGUGAUAUUUGCUAAGGAAAGGGCCGUCUCCGUAAGUGGCAUGACUGAUGACAGCACUGGACCACUAGCAGAGGAUAAAAGCCAUGAUACAUAGUAUAGAAUAAUCCGACCUAAUGAGAAGGGCAGAAAGAUCACAACGCCAAGGAAUAUCAUAUUGCUUGCGAGAACCUACAAAGGAGUAAAAUCACUCAUCAUAUAAUGAAAAAUUUCCCACCAGGUAGUCAAAAGAGGCUAAAUACAUAUUUUAUUUCUCUUGAUACGAAAAGUACUAAAUAGUUCUGAAAGCAAUAAUCCAUCUUAAAUGGAAUAUCCAAGCAAAAGUAAUUAAUACCUUUCUGAAAACAAAACUAUGAGGUAAUGAACCAAAGUCAAAAUAGACAGAAAUUAAAUUAGAUAAUGGGGAUUUGUUCUAUCUAAUUGAUACUGCUGUGACUUUAUUAUAAAGGUUUUCUUCUUUUAAUUAAUUACCAUGCACCACACCCCUCCCCACCCGCAAAUUAAAUGUUUCCCCUUGGGACUUGAACGCCUGACCUCUUGCUUCCACUGCAAAAGGCCAACCAACUGGACUAUCCUUCAGCAAUAUCUUUAUCCUAAUGCUUGCUCCCAAUGGAGUUCAAAACUCUAAUUCCACAAUCAAAUUUAGUUUUACUUUUGAAAUAGAGCAAAUGAUGCUAAAACCUUUGUAAAUGUCAGUUAAGUCCAAUUUUUCCAGUUUCAACUGCUUUUUUUUUUUUUUGGCGUUAAGUUCAGAAGCCUGUCAAGCAGAUAUUGGUUUUUCUAAAGAAGUCAACUUCCAAAUAUAACACCAAGAGCUGAUGGCAAGGGGUGAUAACGGUAAAAUCUUAAAAAAGAAACCUAAUUGACAUUUAGGUCAGGUAUAAGAGGUCUGAGUGCCAUUUACACAUUGAAAAAGGAGCUAGUAAAAUAAUGCAGCUUUCAUCAUGCCUAACACCUACUAAAAAUAUAUAUCACAGUAAACCUAACAGCGGCAAUUCAUUCUAAUAGGAGAACAAACGUGAUAUGCUUUCAAUAAUAUGCAUUCCCAGACAUUUGAAAGAACCCAAGAAAAGACAGAAAGAAAAGGAGAAAGAGUUUACGGUAAAAACCAUCAAGACAAAUCAAUUGCGCAACAAAAUAAAAGACAGAAUUACUGAUCUAUAAUGAUAACAAGAAAAUGAUAAAGAACAAAUGGCAGACUUACAGUAAAAGCAUUUUCAACCAAAUGAAAAACAGGGCCCUGCAUGCCAACAAGCUCAUCAAAGGGUACAUCCUCUGCGCCAUCAGCAUCAUCCAAACCAUCAAACAUCUGUUCAACAUGAGCCUCGAGACGAGCUGCCUGCAUCUCCCAUCGUGCAGCAACAUUUUCUGCAUUCCUUCUUAUCAUUUGACCUGCUCCAGCAAUACCUGGUGCUCCACCAGCAUCUUCAGCAUUUCCUUCACCAGCAAAAUUCCUAUUAGCUUGUCCAGGGGGUCGCCUGGCUGCACGAGCAACAUUUCUGUCCCCUUCAUCCUCUCUCUCAGCAUCCUGUCCUCCAAUCUCUCGUAAAUGCCUGAAGUAAUCCCUUAAAGAAGUUGCUCCAAGAAAAAUAAACACAAUGCUCGCAGAAAGUAAGAAACCAUGCAAACAAUCAGUAAGAAUAACUGUAGUGGAGAUAUGACUCAAAAAUAAUCUCUGAGCUUCUCCGAAACUCCUCACAAAAGCCAAGCGCCAUAUCCAGAAUGUGAUAAAUGGUAUGAUGAGGAGCCAAACAGAAAGGACAAAACUGAGCCGUAGAAAGAAUUGCAGGACAUGGUAAGCUUUCAUCGCCAUCCCAACUAUAAACUCCUGAAACGGAAGUCUUGCUGGAGCAUUCUCAGCAUAAACAGGGGAGAAGGAAAAUGCAUGUUUACAAACCUACAAAAGCACCAAGUAAACUCAGUUACAGGAUUAAUAUCUUCACCUAGAAAAUAGAACUCGUCAUAAACAGAAUCAAAAGAUGAGUUAAAAGCAACAGCAGACAACUUCCAGCACUUGGAAACUGCAAACCAAAUAAAUGAUAUUAAUGGUUGCACAGUGACAGGAAACAUGACUUAGAAAAAAAAAAAACUUCUCUAUUCAUUCUGGUUGUUGUCUUUGGCUUUUUGCAUGCAUUUACAGACCUAUUACAGGCUUCCUACUGACACAUUUAACGUGCUAAAUUUCUUGAAAUACACACAUACAUCAUACACACUUUUGCAAUGUAAUUUAUCAAAGUCAUGCAAUAUACUGGUCUGUAUGAUGCUAUUCACCCCUAAAUCAUGAUCUUAAAAUAUCAAUAAUCAGCUGAUAUGAGACCCAAAGGGAAAGCCCGUCUAAUCAUCAAAAUCACAUUGCCAGAACUAAUGGUAGGAACACAAUUAAAAUGUUAUGCAGUAAUAGUAAAUUAAACAUAAAGAAUUUGCUGCUGCACAUUUCUACACUAUACUUUCCCCAGCAGUUAUCUUCAUUCUCUCAUUAUGGUACUCAGUCCCCUUUCAUUAUAUCAUAUCAAUUAAGCAUUAAUCUCAAAACUCGAAUAAAUAAAAUAACAGCCAACACCAACCCACUAAAAAUCCUAACUACAACCAAUUGAAAUAAACCUUUUUUUCCCCUCUUCUUCCAUAAAUUACAUAUCCAAAGAAGAAUAAUAAAAUCUACUCGCCUAGAAAAUCAUACAAUUCAAAUAUCAUUAAUCCCUUCAAAAGUUACAUAUGUUUCUCCUAAUUUUCUAUCUCCAACAAAUGAAUUUUUUUUAAAGAAAAAUGACACAUUAAUAAAUUUUAAAUUAAAAAAAAAAAUAGAAAAAGAACCUCGCAUUGACGAGCGUUACUGUGAUUGAGCCACUGAAGGAGGCAAUCCUGAUGAACAAACUUGAUACUUCCGCUACAGGCACAUGGAUACCGCAACGGAUUCUCGGGAUCUCCAGGAUUCCGACAGAUCCGACACACCUCCUCUUCCUCUUCCUCCUCCUCUUCGAUAUCGAAGCCGGUCGAACUAGUCUUCUCUCUAUCAUCCUCCGCCCCCAUCGACGCCGAUUCUUCCGCUCCUCUCUUCAUCGACGGCGUCGACAAAGAUGGCUCGGGAGAGUUGGCCGGCAAGGAGGAGGAGAAGGAGGAGGAGGCCAUGGCGCCACCCCGCGGUGACGUGGAAACGUCCAUAGGAAAGAGAGCUGACUUUUGUCUCUCUGUAUUCGAGGCAAUAUUGAAUCAAUGGUGGUGGACUGAUGGUGAUGCCGAAUGGGAUCUUAAUUAAAACGGGGGUUGCUAGGAAGAAGGAAAUUGUUGGGUACAGAAUUUGAGUCCAGAAUUGCCCCGGGUUCCAAUUUUUAUUACGGUUUUGUCGGUUACAAUGUAUGCGGCUGACUGGACAUGACGUGGAGGUAAGGGAUUGGUUUUUCAGUUUUUUAAUUUUUUACUAAAAUUUUAUGUUUUUAAGAAUAAAGGCUAAAAAAAUUUAUAUUUAUACUUUAAAAUAUUUUUUGCUUAUUUCUGCUGUACCGNNNNNNNNNNNNNNNNNNNNNNNNNNNNNNNNNNNNNNNNNNNNNNNNNNNNNNNNNNNNNNNNNNNNNNNNNNNNNNNNNNNNNNNNNNNNNNNNNNNNNNNNNNNNNNNNNNNNNNNNNNNNNNNNNNNNNNNNNNNNNNNGCGGAUGUACGGUACAGCAGUUUUAUUUUUUAUUAAUAUAAUUUAAAAAUUAUCUUUUAAAAUAAUUUUAUAAUUUUUAAUAAAAAUUUUCAUUAAAAAUCAAACAAAUAAAAUUUUUUAAUUAAAGUUUUAUCAAAAAAUUUUAUUUAAAUAACCUCUAUUUAAAAAAUUAUAUCAAUUGAACCUAGCAGUUUGCACUUGUAAAAAAAAAAGCUCUUUGCAAAACAAAAAAAUAUAUAUAUAUUUGCUUUAAUUGUAGGUCUUUUUUUUUUCCUUCAUCCUCAGGAUUGCUUUAUUGUAGUUAAAAUGAAGUCAUAUCCUUUGGUCAAAUAGAAUACAAUUCAAGCUUAGUUUUACUUACUUUCGAUUCGCAUUGGCUGAAAAUUUCAAUAUAUGAUUCCUAUGGGCCUAAGAACAAGACUUUAAUUUUUUGGGCUAGGCUAAUCCAUAUACUAAUCUACCAACACACCGUUACCUUUUGUUGUGCGUACCCACAAUUGAAAAUGAUAAAAUUAAGACCGGUUGAUAUUGAAGUUAGAUAAUUUUAAUUUUUAAAUUACACUAUUAAUGUGUGUAGUAAACAUUUGAUACAGUGAGUUGAAAGUAAAAUUGAUUUGAUCUUUUGCCAUGAAAAAUUUAUAAUAUCUUUAUUAUUUUUGUUAAGAUUAUUAUUUAAAAGUCAUAUUUACAACACAUUAUUAACUUUUAUUUAUAGUAAUAGUUUUUUAUAACAGUUUUAAUUUAAAAAAUACAACAUGCCUCAAUACCAAAGAGGACAUGAAUUUAAUUUCUUAAAAAGGACUAUAAAAAAAAAAAAAUAGAGUAUUAAGUAGUAAGGAGCAAUGGGCUUGGCCUGACCCAAUCCCACAGUUUUUUUUAUUUAAAUUAAAUUUAUUUUUUAUUCAUAAAUUAAAAAAAAACCCUGACCAAAUCCGAUCUUUUUGUGAAGUCUUUGUCUAGACCUAACAUAUAUGGACUUUGUAAUUUUUGGGCCCAUAUUUAGACCCACCUCUUGCGGGCCGAACUUUAGUCCCUGGAUUGCCGGGCCGGCCGGCUUUUUUGCCACCCCUAAGGAGCAAUAUGGUUAGUUAUGAUUCUCUUAAUUAUAGAUGUAAGUAAUUUAUAAUAUCUUGUUAAAUGAACCAGUUCCAAUGAUUGCAGAAAAACCCUUCAUUACUAGUCAUUAUAGCUCAACAUGAAUAUACUUAUUUCGUUUGUGAUUUAGCAAUUCCAAAGUUUUUUUUUAAAUAAAAAAGAAAUAAGAAAAAUUAAUCUUUUAACUUUUCAUGUUUUUUCAUUUCAUAAAUCUUGUUAAGAAUCUUUCGACAUGAAAAAGGUUUGUGGCACUGUAAUAAGCCUCCGAUGGGUAAGAUAAAUUCAAAAUACUCCUUUUUUUUUUAUCUCAUACUACUGCUCGCCAAGUGUAGCGGGGCACCAUCCGCUAAAACUUGGCCCUUUUUAAUGCAUUUGCCCCGCCUAACCUGGGGUUUUUGAUGCAUAUAAGUAUUUUUAUUUCAAUGUUGAUACAUAAUUAAUGGGAUACUAUAUGUAUUACCGUUACCCGAUAAAACAAUCUUGUCAAAUAUCGGUAUAAAUAAUCUUUUCAUAUCGUAUUCAAAGCACCAUGCUAUUAUUAUUUAAUGAUAUUGAAAAUGAAACCCUUAAUUCAUGUGUUUUAACAUGAUUUCUUUGUCAGUAACAUUAUAUUAUGAAGAUAAAGGAUUUUUCUUCUUAAAUUAUAUUAGGCUACUGUUUCUAACCCAAUAAAUAAAAUAAAUUCUAAUAAUAUAUUAAAAUUUCUUAGUUAUUUUUUUUUUUUUAGCCCCUCAAUACAUAUAAAAAGGGAAGACAUAGAGUAGACGUCAUCUGCCAAUAAAAUCGUGAUCUUAAAAAGAAAAUAAAGAUGAAAAGAAAAAAAAAAAAGUUCCGCAUGUAAUGGUCUAAUACUUACACGUAAUCAUUAUUUCAUAUUUUAAGUCCCUCUUCGGUCUUCACGGGCGUGCACCAAAAUGUAACGGCUAUCUGUCUGCUUUUUCUUUUUUGUUUUUUUUCAGGUCUUGUUUUCUAAAUAUAUAAUUAACUAAUCAUAAGAAUAAUUAAGAUAACUGAUAAUGAUACGCACAAAUUAUCAUCCAUAAAAGCUUAUUAGGAACUGCUAGAUCCACUAAUUGAAUGAUAAAUUACUUACUUAUAUAUAAAAUUAUACUUAAAUCAAUAGAAUCUAACAAAGGCCACUUUCACUUCCUUCCAUGAUCAAAGCAACUCUCUUUUGUCUUUAGUGCGCCUAAUCUACUCUCCUUUAUGACAAUUCUCUACUUUGUGCUCCUUUAGAUCAUUGUCAAUUUGUCACACACUCACUUUGUUACAGCAUUGGCCAAUGGCCAUGAAUUCACAUUAUUUAUUUAUUUAUUUUUUCCACUUUUGCUUUAUGCUCCAUUGGGUUGGUGAGUCAAUAAUUUUGUUUCAUUUCUGUGCCUCGCUUUUGUAGAAUCCUUAAUUAUUACUAUCAAUCGCAGCAAUUAAGGAGCUGUCGGUGGCAUAGUGGCAUCCAAUGUUAUGACCUGCCCUUCCCAGCUUCUGCAUUGUUUGCAUGAAUCUUGUGGCCUUUGUUGUUCUUUCACCGCAUUUUCAACUUCUUCAAGCAAAGCUCCCUCUCUCAUUCGCUCUCUCUUUCAUUCCAUUGCAUACGCCAAAGCAAUAACUAGGUAGUGCAGGUCAGUACUGUGAACAAUUUGCUUCUUUUCCUUAGUGAGAUUUUGCUGUUGAGCCUCAAAAGCUUGCAUUUGUUCUUAUACGCUUUGUUCUAAAUCAAGGUGUGUCAGUGUUAUUGUGCAUUUAAGGCAGUGUUCAUUAGUUAAUUUUUAUCUGUUUAGUGACAAGUAAACAGAAGCGGCUUCUUUACCAUUUGGAGUUGCUUUUGUUUAUGCUUUUGACGCUAAAAUUUUACUAAUUUAUGGCUUACAAAACCAACAUGAGAGUUGUAAUAUUGCAGGAAAUGUGGGAUAUACCACUUUUAAGUUUUUAACUUACUUAUAAUUGUUUUACCAAAUCAUUGAAAGUUGCACCAAAAUUCCAAGCAGAGGCAAAUUAAUUUGUGUGCUGUUCUUAUUUUAGUUCACACAUUAAGUAGGUAUUAGCAUGUAUCAGUUAUUUUUAAUUGAAUGCAUUCAUUAAUUGUCACUGAUAGAAGUUAAUUAUAUUAAUCCACAUUUCCCACUUUUGCUGCAUGUUUACAGAAUCUGAGUGAUGGACCAGAAGGCAUGGCUUUGGAGGAAAAAAUCUUCAGAAAAGACAAUUGUUGCAACUGACAAAGUUGGCGUUACAUUGAAUCAAAUUGAUGAACAGGUAGUGGAAAUUUACUUCUCCUUCCCCUCACCUUCAAUUUUUUGGUUUCUAGUGUAUGCUGAUUAUUAUUACCUCUUCGAGAAAAUAUUUCACGUUCCAUGGUCAUCUAAUAGACCUUGAAAUCUUCGUUCUACAUUUCUUUUUCAUUUGUCCUUUUUUUUUUUUUCUUUUUGAAGAAUUUCUGCUAUUUCGUUGUGUUAGGUACCCAUAGUUCCUACGACUAAAGGAGUAGGAUCAGAGAGAUCCAUGAAGAAUCUUAAUGAGAAGUUAGCUUCAGUGAUCUUUGAUUGUCAUCCUAAAGAUGAGCUUAUGGCAAAACAAGCAAAGCUGGUGCAAGAAGCUGGCGCAGGUGAUUUAUAUUUAUUUGAUUAUCAGUCUUUUCUCACUCUUGCUUUAUCACUUCCACAGUUUUUCUGAUGAUUCCAUUGGCUGAUUCGAUAAAUAUUUCUCUUAGGCCAAGAAAAGCCAGAAGUGGCAGCGGCAGUGGUGAAAAAAGAACUUGAUGAGACUCUGAAGCCUCCACUUUCUGCAAAUGAAAACUUACCUUAUGCAGGUGCUGCAACAGCACCAAUGAAAUGUGUGAAACAAUUAAACUUUGAUCAAGCAGAACAAGAGCAAAGGGUCCAUGACGCUGUCGUAAAAACAUCAGGUGAGUUUGAGAAGGCGCAGAAGGAAUUGGAAAAGAAUUUAAGGGAGGCAAAUGAAAGAAUUGCUAAGUUAGCUGCUGAGAAUAGCCAUCUGAGUAAAGCACUUCUAGUCAAAGAGAAAAUGAUCGAAGAUCUAAGCAAACGCAAGUCUCAGGCUGAAGCAGAAUUCAGUACCCUGAUGACUAGAUUAGAUGUCACUGAAAAGGAAAAUGCAUUUUUGAAGUAUGAGUUUCGUAUUCUUGAGAAAGAGCUUGAGAUUCGAAACGAGGAGAUGGAAUAUACCCGGAGAUCUGUUGAGGCAACGCAUAAACAGCAUUUGGAGAGCGUGAAGAAAGUCGCAAAGUUAGAAGCAGAGUGUGAGAGGCUACGCCUUUUGGGGCGAAAAAAGCUGCCUGGUUCUGCUGCUUCGGCAAAGAUGAAGAGCGAAGUCGAAAUGCAGGGAAGAGAUCAGAUGGAUAUGAGAAGAAGAAAGUUGAGUCCUACUAGAGAUUUGAUUGUAAGACACGCCACCAUGGAGAGCUCUCAUGACAUCAGUCUGCUUGCGCGGUUGCAUGAUAUGGAGAAGGAAAACAGAACUCUUAAAGAUAUUGUGAUCACAAAGAGCACUGAACUUCAGGCUUCAAGGAUGAUGUUUUCAAGAACAGCUUCAAGAUUAUCUUAUGUUGAAUCUCAGCUUAGAGAGAUAUGCACAGGUCAAAAAUCCAUGGAGCUGACAGGUUGUGUACCUAUCUCCAGCGAACUUUCUAUAAUGUCAGUUGACAAUGCCAGCGAUGAUGGGAUGAGCUCAUCAGGAUCAUGGGCCAACGCUCUAAUUUCAGAACUAGAACAUUUCAGAGAUAGGAAAAUCAAGAAUCAGCUGGAACACAAAGGCAUUGAAGUUUCAGGCAUGAGCUUAAUGGAUGAUUUUGUUGAGAUUGAGAAGCUCGCUAUAGUGUCUGCGGAAACACCUUCAGGAAGUGGCUAUCAGUCUGAUGUCACUAGCAAGGAAUUAGUUCCACUUGUACGAAGUGAUUCCAGGCUUAGUGAGAUAAAACAGGAGAUCCACUCAAAAGACGUUGCAACUGAAAAAUCUUUUGACUGGCUUCAGGUUGUUUUGAAUGCAAUGUUGAAGCAAAGGCAAAUUUCAAAACAAAGUCUAGAUAAGCUUCUUGAGGAUAUUAGAAUUGCUUUGGGGUAUGUAAAUUAUCCGACUGUUGUUGCAGCUGAUUCAGUGGCCGCCUCAACGCAACCCAGGGAAUCAAAAUCUCCUAAUACAUCUUACAUUGCACAUUCGUUGCCUGGAGAUUGCAGAAAUGGCAAAGAAAGAAGCAGCCAACAUCUUGAAUCUGAUCUCAGUAAGUCAAUCUGUAAAAUCAUUGAACUGAUUGAAGGAGUCAAUGUGACAUCUUCAGUAAGUCAUCCUUACUCUGUCCAUGUUUUUCAGUGGAAUCCUUCUGAAUUACAUGCUGUUCUGCAAAAGUUUGUAUGUGCUUGUAAUGACCUAUUGGGUGGGAAGGCUGACCUCGAUAAAUUUGCUGAGGAACUUUCAAGUGCUUUAGAUUGGAUUAUGAACAACUGCAUUGCCCACAAAGAUGCUUCGAGAGCAAGGAAUAAAGUAAAGAAGCAUUUUGGUUUACUUGUGGAAUCAAAUGAGGUUCAUAUCCCUGAAGAGCAAUCUUCAGCUUCUUUGCAAGGCCAAAAUGUCUUAUCCCAAAGUAAUCUUCAAGAGGAAAACAGGAGACUAAGAGAUGAGUUGAAGAGUAUGGCAGCCAGGCUGGAGUCAGCAACUGAUAGGAGUGAGGCCUUGGUGACACAACUUCAUGAAUCAGAAGAACAGAUUGGAAAUUUAGAAACUGAAGUCAAAGCUUUGAAAGAAUCCAAGGAGAUGAUUGAGGAUCAGAUGGAAAAUCAAAAAUCUAUCAAUGAAGAUCUUGAUACCCAGCUAACAGUUGCCAAAGCUAAACUGAAUGAGGGCUUUCAGAAGUUCUCAUCUUUGGAAGUUGAAUUGGAGUACAGAAAUAAUUUUUGUGAAGAACUGGAAGCAACAUGUCUCGAGCUUCAACUCCAGUUAGAGAGGUAAAACCGAUUUCUUUGCUUUUCCUACUGUAUUAACUGGUUAAAAAAUUGUUCCUUGAUUAAAAAAAGUCUACACUUUUCAUCAUGUUGACUCUCAGUGUUGCAAAGAGGGAACCACCGAGCUAUGGUGUAAAUCAGGGGGAAAAGCAAUCCCAGAAUGUAAGUUAGACAUCAUUAUCUGUUAUUAUCAUGUUGCCUUCGCUUAUAGAAGCAGACUUAUAAAUCUACCAGUCAACAACAUCAAAAAAUUAAAAAAAAAAAGGAAAAUAAUUGUUGGACAAUGCAUUGACAUAAAUGCUGCUGUUUGAUUAUUCAGGGUUGGGAGAUGACAGCAGCUUCUAUAAAGUUGGCGGAGUGCCAAGAAACCAUUCUAAACCUGGGAAAACAGCUGAAGGCACUGGCUUCACCACGGGAAGCAGUACUUUUUGACAAGGUUUUCUCAACCACCAAUCCUGCCAUCACUGCAACCAAUAACAGGAGAUUAAACCAGCGCUUCUCCUUACGUGAUAGAAUGCUUGCUGACGAUAGCUCUAAAACAGACCCUUUCAAGUCUUCAAAUAGUAAAGCUACUUUGAGUAUUGAAGAUGGUCCAAAACCAUCACUUCUUCACUCCAAUGAUUGUAAUGGUGUAGAUGCCCCUAUUGUCCAGGUCCAUUCUCCAGAAGUACAUACUGCUUUAGAGAAUAAAGCCAGUAACACUGCAGUUGGAUCAUCUCUGGCUGUUGUGCCAAGUAAAAAACGAGGAGUUGGUUUACUUUUGAAACUAUUUCUGAGAAGGAAGAAAGGGAGCAGCAAGAAUUCUAGAUCUUUAGCCAAGGUCUGAGUACAAAAAGAUAGACAAUCAAAGCUAAGAGCCUAAGCUUAAAGAGAAACUCCUGGUCUCAUGAUAGCAGCAAUACACAUCUUGGAGGAGUUAAUUUCCCGGAGUUUUCAUGCGUUGGUUGUUAACGUUUGGUGCUUAUAGUUCCCACCUUGAUGAUCGGAUGAAGUGAAAACAUGACUGCUAUUCCUGCUUUUGUUUAAACGAGAGAUAUCAUCAGAUAGUUCUUUUGUAAUGUGCAAUUGUGCAGUGAGUCCGAAGUGUUGCUUGUAAAAAUACAACUGGGUUUAAAACUUUUGAGAGCUUAAAUAAUUCCUAUAAUGAAAGAUGGCUGUGGAGAGUUUUAUCAUUUGAUGGCUUGAAUAUAAAGGUUCUAGACUCAAGACUUGAUUGGAAUCCUAGAGUGUCAUUUGAUGUGAAGAGAUCAUUUUUCUUCUUCCAAUAAAGCAGCUUUAGCUGCAGCUUCUACAUUCUUAAUGGUGUAACAAAUCUUAUUAGUCUCUUCCUUGGUUCUAGAAAUAUUGAUACCGUAUCAAAGCAAAUUAUCUGGAUUCAUUAUUGCCUCAAGAUGAUGCCUUGUUUCAUGGAAGAUGAAAUGAACUUGCAUUAUAUUCUCAAAAUCAAAUCUGUUAAAUUCUACAAUUCACACGGGCUAUGGUUAACAAGAAAAUUUAAAAGAUGCCUGAGAAAAUGAACGAUAAUGCUUCUCUAUUUCUCUCUCUCUCUCUCUCUCUCUAUCAUUCUCUCUUUUCCUUCUACUUCUGAAAGCCACCUGAGAAAAAUUCAGAAUCCCAGAACCACAGGUACCAGUCAAUUUUCCAACCAUUAUUCUCAUUCUUGGUUUUCAAUCUCUAUACAAGAUAAAUCUUGCAAUUUCAUCCAGUCCACCCUCUUUAUAACAUUCAGCUAUGCGCUCCAGAGAGUCGGCCCAGGUUCCUUCAAUAGAACCCAAAUCCAGCAGAAAAGCAGCCUCAUCUAAUGCAAUCUGCACCAAGGUAUCAGAAUGAAACAUUUUGUACCUUGCAUAAAACUCUAAAACGAACUGUGCUGCAACAAUACCUGGGCAGGUGCCUUUCCUUUCUUUAAAUCCUCUUGUUUACCCUCUUCAGUUAUCUUCUCCUUAAUGUACUCUAUUUGCUCAUCCUCCCAUUGUGCAAUGCUGGCGACUGCCUGGUCACGUAAAGCAAAUGUUACCACACAAGGCAGCACCGCAGCAGAAACUUAAGAACAGAACCUGAAAGGAAAAUGCAUAUGGAGCAAAGAAAUUCCCCGUGCCUCAUAUGCACAGCCUAAGGUCCACCACGGUGAUUUCAAAGCCACCCUUGCAGAAUCUUUAGCUUCUGAGAUACGCCCUACUCUACAGAGAUUUAAAAAUUCUCUUGAGAGAUUUUAAAGUGCAAUGCACAUCUCCAAAUCAGGAAAAGGAUUUUUCAACUAACUUCAGCAUAAUCUCCGCAUUGAAAACAAAAGGUCGUCCAAAUCCUGGAAAGAGGUCCUUCUUUGCAUAAAACUCCCCAGUCACUAGAGCUGAAACCUUCCAUUUACCCAUGCAAUAAAAAAUAAAUUAAUAGAAGCCUCAAAGGAACAAAAGUCUCGAACUAAAGAUAAAAAUUCAGAAAAUCUUACAUGAUCCCCUUGCUCAAAGUGUCGUGUCACUUUAUGCUCUAAAACAUCUGGAAACAGCCCAACCUGAAAGACAACAAUAAAAUGUUACCACAGAUUUAGCAGAGGCAGUGCUAAACCUCAGCUCACACAGCUGUCCAAUUACCUUACUCAGUAGAUAACUGUCAAGGUUCGUUAUAUUGGAUUCAGCAAAAUCACCCCUUUGAUAAAGUUUCUUACCAGCCUCAGAAGAUGCAUCAUAUAAUUCACUAUUAUUUUCUUCCAAGUGAUGGGCAUCUUCUUCAACAAGGAGCCGGUGAAUAUAUUGAUCUACCUGUGUUUCAAAAGCGGUAAAUAGAUUAGUCAUUUUUGUAAAAAUAAGAUAAAUACUAUGAGGGCUUGUUCAACUCUAUUUUACAAACUAGGGGAAAGGAACGAGAAAAAGAAGUGAAACUUCUGAGAUUCCAGAUCUUAAAAUGUCAAGUACACUCAACUAGUUACACACAUUACGGUAUGCUUUCGGUUUAAUGCAUUACAUUUUUGCCUAAAAGCCACACCCCAUGCUUGCGAACUUCCACAACUGGCAUCUCCAUUCUGUGUUGGCAAUAGUUGUAGGAAGAUUAUUUAGUAUUAAAGCAUUUGCCAAAGUAAGUGUUCUGUAACAGCAAAAAUCAUAUAGCAUGAAUUGUUAAAGUUCAAAUCACUAACCCAGAUGGAGCUGUUGGCCACCGCAACAAUGCUGUUACAGCACCUAUUGUCAAUGAACAAUAGAUGUGCCACAUUUAUAUUAGGAACUCCACAUCAAAUUUUUUUUUCCCCAAUAUAAGCUACUAAUAAAUUGUAUGCAGUAUUCAAAUGGUCAUCAAACCUGAGCUAUUUUCUGAAAGAGGUAUAGCAAGGGGAAUGAUCCCUUGCCUGGAUCCUGGAGAAACAAUGGUAUCACCUGUGACCAAGUGAAAAAACACAAUAAUAGUUCAGGAACAUGCCAACAGAGGAAAAAGAAACAGCUCCAAAUUUUCAAAUUUUUAAAUAAGUUGACUGUUCCAGAUUGGAUAAAAAAAUUGCAAAAGAAAAAACUGUCACUACCUCAUAAUAAAAACUUAAGAUGGCCGAGCUAUACAUUGCAGAAAUCUCAAAUUUCAACUAACAAGUCAAGAAAUCAGAAACUGCCCACCUCUAGUCCGAAGCACUUUUAGCAACUCAUCAAGAUGUUCAGGAGGAUUCGCCACUGCUAUAUCUCUGAUGAACGAUACAUGGCCUGCGUUUUGACCAGCAGACUGUCAGAUAACCCCAACGUAAAAAAACUACUCAAUGACAAACAUCACAGAGGAUGAAUUUACCAAAAUUGAGAUCAAAACUCCAUAAUGGGGUUAGCAUGACAAUGACGUGGUAUCAGUUAUGCAUCAUCUAUUUUCAACCGAACUUCUAGUACAAUUCAAUCGAAAUGAAAAUGGGUUAAAAAAAAUUCAAAUUUUACUGGCCUAGACUCAUUAAAUAACUGAUUAAACAUAUUUUCUUUUUAACUAAAGUGAUGACAACAUAGGCUAUGUGUGCAUAUAUAUAUAUAUAUAUAUAUAUAGUUACCAGAAGAGGAAGAGCAUCUAAUGGGCCUAGCUCUGACGUGGCGAAGAGGCAGUGCAGCGGCACAAGGAGCUCUGUGGAUUGCUCCCAUUACACCCAUCUUCAUUUUGCUGCUGCCGCUUCUACCUCAGCAGCCACACUACGUUAAGCUUUGUAUCUCUCAAGGUGACACUAAAAACAGAGGAUAAGAACCAAACAUACUCGAUAGAUAGAACCAGGGCAAUUCGUGGUCUCAUUUUGUUGUUUAUUGUACAAAAAUAAUAAUAUUAAGAAAGACCCUCUUUUUUUCCCAGAAAUGGCAAAUUUCCAAAUAUGUUACAAUUUUACACAAAGAAGUCACUAAAAUUAAUUUAAAAUUGCUGUUUAGAAAAACAAGCCACAAAGGUUAAAAAAAAUCCAAGUUCAAAUAUUGAAAUGAACGCCUUAUUAUUAGUUAUCAUUUUAUCUUUGAAGGGACAUCUUAUUAUUCACAUUCUUUCUUGUUUAGUUAUUUAUUGAAUCAUAUAAUCGUAAUUUAUGCUAGAAAACUGGUCUUCAACACAGAAGAAAAAAUACAGAAUCUGCUAUGGCCUUAGCUUUUGCAUAUUGUUGAUGGGGGAGUAAAAGUGGGAGCUAAUCAAGUACACACUAAUUUUACAGCGUGAAUGAUAUUUGUAUAUAAAAUCCAUCAUAAUGAAUCAUUUUGUGUAAUUCAAUCCACAUUUUGGAAAUCAAUUAUCCUUCAAUGUUUUCUUGGAGGUCAAAGCUGCCUCCUUCAUUUCCAGCAAUGAAUCUUCAAAGCACUUGGCAAGCAAUUCCGGGUCAGGGAUAAUGUCUUUAGCUACUAGAAUUUGCAUGUCAGCUCUUCCUGCAUAGCUCAUCAUGUGCAUUGUCAGCGCCUGCAUAAAUAUCAAGUUAUCAACCAAGGUGAAUACUUAUGUUUCACUGAGUCUAUUGAUAUUAAAAUAAAAUCUAUUAAAAAAAAACAACACAAUCUACCAAUAACGUUAAGUGUAAACAAUGGACAUGUAGGAGAUUGAAAAUUGCAAAUAUUGUGCACGAGGUCACCAAAGAGACUAGCUUAUAAAAGUAGACUAUCUCAUCUUACUUAUAAGUCAAAUUCCACCCUCAAAUAAAAUCUCCACAGGUGGAGAGGCAUCACCGGCCUCUACCCUUUCAUCCAAUGUGCUUGAGUUGUUCCACCAUAUUCGAACUAUUAGGUUCUGGCUUCAGCUUGUUAUUAUUCAGUCUAUAACUCUAAAGACUACUAGUCCAUGGUGGAGCCAAGGAGUGAUUCACCCUCUUUAUAAAACCCAAGUAUCUUCCUUUUAUAAGCUAAUAUAGAACACAACACCAAUAAAUAUAUGCUACCAUACUAGUAACAAGAUGAAUGGUGUUAAUGCAAUAUGUACACGAAUAAAUAGUAACAUAUUACUAACUAGACACAAAAUCUUAAUUGAGUAAUUAAUCAAGGAAGAAAAAGCUGGAGCUAGAGGCUGUACAUGAGGCAAGCUAGAAGUGUUUGCCCGGAGGUAAGCCACAGGAUUGUCUGCAAGGGUAAUCUUCUCUGUAGGGCCAACAAUAUUCGAGAUUGUGAAGGUUGUAUUACAAACAAUCCUGUAAUUAAGCAAGCACGCUACCUACAAUUAAGGGAAGGGGAAAAAAAAAAGAGUUACAAAUCUGCGAGGAAUGUAAAAUUUGAAAAUUUUAACGGAAAACUGACAAAAUUCUUUUUUAUAAUCACCUUUGCUCCAAACCAGGACAUUACAAGAUUCCCAAUUUUGUAUGAGAAGUGACCCUCUAGAGUUAGUUUCUUACUGUCAAUCAUUUUCUUAGCUCUCUUUACAUAAGAUAAGGGAUCAGCUCCACCUUUGUGAUAAUAAAUUGGCAGCAGAAGCAUGCCAAAUUUGUUCCCCCAGCGCGUUCCUGAAUUGCUUUUCAUUAAGUUUGAUAGAUCCUGAACCAAAACCAUUCAAUCCCACUACGUAACGUGUAGUCUAAGGUCACAUAAUAAAUGAAAUUGUUUAAAAUAAAUAAAUGUACACUGCACCGUGGCUAACCUGCAGUCCUGGCUGCCGUCUUAUAUUAACCAUGGCCAGACCUGUAAUUCUAAGUCCUUCGGGCAGAGCUGAUGUGAUCAAAAUUGAACUUAAGUUUAGGAUUUAAGAUCAAUGUGAUUGAAGUUUGAUGUUGAUGUAAAUGUAAAUGUACAAAUGUAGGUGUGUGUUAGUAUCAAAACUUACCAUUUGGGGAUCGGUGAUCCAAGUACCUUGAUAAUCCGGAUGAUACAACCCCAAAGAGAACAUCAUUAAUGGUCUGCAUUGUUGAAUAAUUUGAAGUAUCAAUAUAGGCAAAACACAAUUAAACUAUAAUUUAAGUAUUAAAAAUAAUGGUAGUAAGUAAUAGCAUGCUACCGAAUUAAUCAAGGUUUAUGAAUUAAGGAGAUUGAUAUUUAAUUAAAAUGUAUAUGGAACCAAAAGUCUUUCUUUUUUAUUCUUCUGACUAUACAUAUUUAUAUAACACAGAAUAUUUUGAUUUUUUUUUUAAGAAAAGAAAGAAUUUAAUGCGUUCGGUAUUAUUUUUCAAAUGGUGUUAUAGAAUUUGUUUUAUGAAAUAAGAAUGAUUAGUUUUUGUUGAAAAUGAAAAUGUAUUUGGUAACUUAUUUGAAGUACAGUACUUAAAAAUUAUUUAAAAAAAAAAAAAGUAAAAAGGUGUUUAGUUGUUUGUCUCAAAAAAUGAAGACAGGAAAAGAGAGUAGAGAAUUAUUUAAUGAAACAUUUUCUUAGUAGAUGGAUUAUUUAAUGAAACCUUUACGAAAGAGUAAUAUAAUGCAAUGAAUAUAACAAUAUAUUUUAUAUCAUUAAAUAAUUUAUCUAUUUAGAUAAAUUAUAUAUUACUAUAGAUGAAUAUAGGUACAUGGUUAUUUUACUGAUUGCUUAAAAACUUUUAAUUAUGUAAAUAAAUUGUAGUUAUAAGAUAAUAUUAAUUAAGAAAAUCUUAAAUUUCUUUAUAAUUAUCAUAUAUUUGUUUAUAUUAGUUCCAAAGAUGUAAAUUUUUUAUUGAUAUAUUUUCAUCGGUAUAUAUAAAGGUUUAUAGUCAUUUUUGAAUAGCUACAUAUUGGUCGAACAAUGUAAUAAUUUGCUAUAAUAAUUAUGUGAUAUUACUUUUUAUUUAAAACAGUUUGUGUAAUACAUUAAGUGAUUAGACUAUAAGGUAUAGAAUAAAUUCUUGUUAUUGUUGUUAUGUUAAAUAUUUGUUAUAAUAGUUUAUUUAUUAAAUUAUUUCUUCAUUCAUAAGGGUAACAUAAUCUACUACACUAUGUUAUAAAGUCAGGCACCAAAUGAAUAGUGUUGCACCAUAUUUGGUGCAAUACUAUUCAUAACACCAUUUUGGUGUUACUUUGGAGAAAUAUUUUAUACCAAAAAUGGUAUAAAAUGUGGGGCAAAAUUAUGUUGCAACAGUGGUACGGUACCACUGUUACAACCAGCCAUUAGAUCUAUAGUUGUACAAUUGUAUUAAUUAUAUCCAAUGACUGAAAGCAACAUAGUUAGACCCUAAAAGGUGAUUUGGUGUUAGGUUUAGUGCUGCAUGGAGAUGCCCUCACGGCUAUUUAGCAUUUUUUCGAAGUUGUUUAGUUUUAAAUUAUAAAAAUUAUAUUGAAACGCACCGUUUCAAGCAUAAAUGUAAUUAUCCAAAACCCCAAGGGCAUUUCCAAAAACUGAUAAAACCCUAAACACUAACUAUAUAAGCCCCACUUAAUCCCUCGCGUCUGCUCCACCGGUAGUCAUUUUAGGGUUUCUCUGUGUGUUGCGCGCGCUUCCCUCAUAGCAAACCCUAACAAAAAAUGGCGACAGCAAAAGCAGGUCCAGUGGAAUCUGUACAAUGCUUCGGCCGCAAGAAGACUGCGGUCGCCGUGACUUACUGCAAGCGCGGUCGUGGGUUGAUCAAGAUUAACGGCUGCCCGAUCGAGUUAGUCGAGCCGGAGAUCCUCCGCUUCAAGGCAUACGAGCCAAUUCUCUUGCUCGGGCGACACCGAUUCGCCGGCGUGGACAUGAGAAUCCGCGUGAAGGGCGGGGGACACACGUCGCAGAUCUACGCCAUCCGCCAGAGCAUCGCCAAGGCUCUCGUGGCUUUCUACCAGAAGUAUGUUGACGAGCAGAGCAAGAAGGAGAUCAAGGACAUUCUCGUUAGGUACGACAGGACCCUGCUUGUGGCAGACCCACGGCGGUGCGAGCCCAAGAAGUUCGGUGGACGUGGCGCUAGGGCUCGGUUCCAGAAGAGUUACCGUUGAGCGGGAAUGCUAGGAAGCGAAACGAAACGGCUUGUUGUUUUGCUCUGCUGUACCGUACAUCCGCCUUGGCCGUACAGCAGUGAGUAGAAAAUGGACAUCUUUUAUUUGUAAAAAUUAUUUAUUUAAGUAUAUAUUUUAUAAAAAUCAAUGUAAUAAUAUAAAUUUUAAUUAUAUAUGUUUGAUUGUAAAUAUUAAUAUAAUAUUUUAUUAUAAUAAUCAUUAUAAAUAUUUAUGUAAUAUAAUAAUAUUAUACGUGAUCAGUAUUAAAAAAACUCAAUCUACUGAACUAAGAAUCACAAAUAAAUAAAUAUUAGUAAUAAUAAUAGAAUUUAAUUUUUCUUAAAGGAGUAAUAUUAUUAUUUACUUGCUUACCGCGCCAGCAAUUGCCUUUUUGACCGCCUUCAUGUCAUCGAUCGAGAAAGUAGCCGUCGCCAGCUUCCUCGGCCAGAGCUCGACCCCAGCGCCUCCGCUAAUCGCCGUCUUCCGAUCAGAAACCCACAGAGCCCUCAACAAAAACUCCAAAACGAACACGAUACUAAGCAAAACCAUCUUCAACAAACCCCACAAGCUCCCGAUCUUCCCCGCACUCUCCGUCCUCUUCCCGCCGGCCACCGCCGGCAGAGCCUCCGGGUCGUCCGCCAGGCGGCAACCCGCGAGCAGCAUCGACACCAGCGAAAUCCCAUCGCCCAAGGCAUGGUGAAUCCUGAACACGGCGCACCUGUGCUCCGCCAGCACGUGAACCUCCCACAGGGGCUUGUCUUCGCUGAGGGGAGAGCUGAAUGACAGGCCGGCCACGUAGUCGUUGACCGAGGUGGAGUCGUGGACUUCGACGAAGUGUCGGUCGAUGUCGACGCUGGUUUCGCGCCAGUGCUCGAGGCCGCGCUUGUCUCUGACCAGGACGCUCCGGAAGCGCGGGUGCCGGACCAUGAUGGAGCUCAUGACGGCGUCCUUCGAUUUGGGCACGUCAAUGGGGCGUUCGAACCCGACGACGCAGUGGAUUAUCGUGUUCAUGUGCGGCUGGAGGAAGAGGCGGCCGGCGGGGGUCAGUGGCUCGUCGGGGUGGGACCCCAUUUGUAGCUGUGUAUGUUCCUUGUUGAAGAUGUCCUACAGAGAAUUUUAUGACGCCGGUUCCAUCCAACUAACUGGCUUUAACCUUUGCCUUCAUUUCACACAAAUAAGAAGUUUGAUUGAUGCAAAUCACGAAGGGGGGAAAAAGAAAGGGUACCUUGUUAUGAACGACAAUCCAGCAAUCGUCUUUGGUGUUGUGGUGAGCAGCUUCUUGCCUGCUGUACGGCCAAGGCGGAUGUACGGUACAGCAGGGGGGGGUUCUUCCUUUUUGAUUUAAUUUUUUUAUCAUCAAAACAAAACAUACGUUCCAUUAAUUUGUCUUAUUUUGAUGAUCAAAGGAUUUGUUUCGUUACUUUUUAAUUGCUGGUCUGGGCAACAACUAUGACAUACUUUGUUUAGAUAAUUAAUAAAUGGUUGGGAAUAUUAUUUAUGCCACUUGGGUUUAGCUGUUGAGGACCGAUGCUUUCCUUUCAAACUUCUAUUGAUAAGGGGAUUACAAUAAUGAUUUAUAUAUGUAUGUAUGUAUAUACACACAUGCAUAUACAUACAUACAUACAUACAUACAUCAUACAUAUAUAUAGGGAAAAAUUGAAAGAUGGAGGAUUACUUUUUAAAUUGAUUGGUUGUUUUAGUCAUUAGCACAUUAGAUGCCCCUUCAACAAUAGUCAUAUUAACUAGCGUAUUUAUUAAUGUAUAUCUUCUUUGGACGUUGUUCAUCGAGUAAGAAAGGACAAUUUGAUAAUAUUGUAGUUUUUGUAUUAAUUUAUUAGUUAUAUUGUAUAAAUAAUUAACUACAAAGACAAUCAAUUAAACGUUUAGUAAAAUUUAUUUUUAAAAGUACUAUGACUUUCAAAAAUAUAACUUUUAAAAAGAGUAAUGAUAUAGCCACAAAAUCUUGUACAAACUUAUUUUGUACAAACUGAUGUAGCAUGAUAAGAUUGGUUGAAUUAAAUAUCACUUGGCCCACAUGAUUUGUUUUUAUUAUUUUAUAUUUUCAUUCAACCAAUGAAUUAAUGCCACGUUAGUUUGUACAAAAUAAGUUUGUACAAGAGUUUGUGACUGUAUCAUUACUCUUUUAAAAAUAAAUGUAUUUAGUAAAUUUUACUGUUAAAUUGCUGUUAAAACAUAAAUGAUUGAAUUGGAGAUAAUGUUGAAUAAAAUUUAUUUAAACAUUUAUAGGUAUGAAUAUAAAAUAUUUUUGAUUGUGUACGUAAAUAAUUGACUACUAAAAUGAAUAUUUUAUAAUAUUAAAUUUAUUUUUUUAUCUCAAUAUAAUUACUAAUAAUAAUAAUAAUUUAUUUAAAGUUGAUGAUUUUAUUUCCUAAUUAAGAAGGAUGAUUUUAGAUUUUUAUAAAAUAUAUGAGGAUAUAUAUGAAAUUAUAUUAGGUAUAAAAGUAAUUCUCAAAAUUAGAUUUUAAAAAACUACUAAUUUUGUUGCUUUUCAAAAUUGUUAUAGGAUGAGAUAAUUUUAUCAAAAGUAAUUUAUUAAAAAAAAAUAGCAAACAUCAAAAUUAACUUCUAGGUUUUUGAAAUCACAUUUGAACUUCCUAAAAGUAAUCCCAAAACGUGUCCUAAGGAUGUAGUAUAUAUUUUGUAUUAGAUUAUUUUCAAGCUGGUUAAUUAAAUAACUCACUAAUCAGAUACACUUUCAAAUUAUGUUCAAGCACCAAUCACUAAAAUGAAAAUGAAAAUUUACAAAUUCUCAAAAAAUUGAAAAACUUCAACCCUUAAUAGUCGAAUCAUACAAGAAGUGAUUGGUGAGGAGAUCUUUAAUCCAUUUCUUAAUCCCCAAUAAUGUCUAAUAAUCCAGUAUUACAAGGCUCUAAUUCCCACCACAGAUUUUAUAGCUCAAUAAAAUAAAUAGGAUGGAGUCACUAGAAGGGAAGGACCCUUGCAAAAAUGCCAUCUAUCAAGGCCGGCAUAAAGUCAUUUGUGUGAUGUUAACAAAACAUAAACCCACCACGAAUCAAUCAUUUUGUGCAAUUUGCAAAUCAAUUUUCCUUCUGUGUAUAUAGAAAUUAAUAACAUAUAAUAGUGUCAUAAGGCGAAAAUUUAUAACAUAUAGCGUCAGACUAGUAAUACGAAUAUAAAGAAGAACAGUGUAGUUGGGGGCUAGCAGAGGCGGAUACACCUCGUGAUUAAUGGGGGCUCAAGUCCCUGCUGCUGGAGAAAAUAAUUUCAAAAAAAAAAUAAAAAGAGAAAUUGCUUUAAAUUAAAUCUGUUAAAGUAGCCCUAUUAAUUUAUAAAAAUAAGGGUUAUUAUCAUUUUACUACUUCAAAAAUUGUCAAAUAUCAAAUGACUACAACAAGUAUUGUCUCCUAUCAUUUUCUUACUAUAUCUUUAUAAAAAUAUCAUUUUAUUACUUUUCCGUUAUAACCGUUAGUUGACCAGUUAGUUGACUAACAAAAUACCAAUUUCACCCUUUAUGAUUAAAAAAAAUUACUUGAAACUUAUUUACAAAAUAAAAUUGUAAUAUAUUUAUUAAAAUGGAUAUAAAAUACCAACAUAAUUCUUUUUGCUGGUAUUAUGAAAAUGAAGCUUAUUUACAAAAUAAAUUUGUCUUAUUAUUUUUUUAAUGAAGCUUAUUUUUUUAAUCAUGAAGGGUAAAAUUGAUAUUUUGUUAGUCAACUAACUGGUCAACUAACGAGUCAACUAACGGUUGUAACGGAAAAAUAGUAAAAUGAUAUUUGUUAUAACAAAAAAGUAGUAAAAUGAUAUUUUUAUAAAGAUAUAGUGGGAAAAUAAUAGAAGACAAUAUUUAUUGUAGUCAUUUGAUAUUUAGUAAUUUUUGAAGUAGUAAAAAUGAUAAUAACCCUAAAAAUAAUCUCAUAAACCCAUAACAUUUAAAUUUUUAACCUUGAGAAUUAUAAAAACCCAUACUCUAAUUAAGAAAAAUAAAAACUCACAGUAACUUAAUUAUAUGGAUGGUUUUACUAUUAUUUAAUUUAACCAUCAUUAAAUUUAUUAAAAUAAACUAAUUAGCUCACAAAAAUUUAUUUGUGAAAUUUUAACGGAUUUUUUUAUAAAUUUAUGAAAUGUUCAUUCAUUUAUUUUAAAUUAUAAAUAAAUAUGAAAUUAAAUAAAUUUCAUAACGGAUUUUUUUUUUUUUUGACACCUUUAACAUCGGACAAGCUGAUCUUUUGACAUAAUUAACUAACAAACAGAUGUGACAUGUAACAAAUAAAUCGCUUGUUAUAAGUAAACUUUUCCUCCACAUAAUAUUAUUGAUAAAGACUAUUUGAGAAUAGUUGUUGAGCGCUUUUAAAUGAGCAUAAGGAUGAGGGAGGGACGAUGGAAACUGAGCACAUGUUGUCAUUUCAUAUACUCUUCUCUCUCUUAUUUAUGGCCCACUAGUGCUAUUAUAAUAAUAAUUAAAAAUGAGGCAAAAUAAUGAAAAAAAUUAAAUUAAAUAAAAAAGCAGCCGUUAUCCCCAAGUACGGGAUCUGCUGACGGUGCCGAUGACGACCGCGCCAACAACAGAGGCGGCUUCUAAGUUGACGAAAUUAUGAAAUUGUCGUUGGUUAAUUGGUAAUUCUCUCUCUCUCCAAUUACAUUGAAAUAAACUUAGUUUAUGGAUGUGUUUUAUAUAUUUAAAUUGUUAGAGUUUUUUUUAAAUUUAAAUUGUUAGAAAGUUAAUGGAUUAAAAUUUUACUAGAUGAUAAUUUUAUAAAAAAAUUUAAUUACUUGUUCUUAAUACAAAGGAUAAUUAUUUUGUAGAAAUAUAAUAACAAGUUAUAAACACAUGAGAGAUUGAGUACUCAAUAACAAACUCAAUGAUAAUUAUUGAAUCCGUUAUAAUUUGAAUUUGGUUGAGCUUUUUUUUUUUUAAUAAUUGGAGAAGACCUUUUGGACACAAUUGGAUCACUGUUAACCUCAAUCAGUUUGCUGUUCUGACUUGUUCCUAGUAACCAUUAUGUUGAAUUUUAAAUUAUUGGAUCAUUGUUUAGAAUAGUCGGAUUACCGUUUAAUUCCAAAAAGUUCACUGAUCGAAGUCAAAUCACCGUUUGUUGUUUACCGUUUAAUUCCAGAAGCUCACAUCUGCGAAGUCGGCUUGUUAUUUGUAAAUAACGGUUUGCUGUUUUCAAAUAAAAUUUUUUCUAUAUUUUAUUGGUUACCGUUUUCUCACUAACAAUUAACCAUUAACUUCCCAAAGCUAUUAAUAACUCAACUACAAGUUAUUGGUUUGCCCUUUUUAAGCUUAACAGUUAUCCAUUUAUUUUCAUAAACUUGAAUUUGUCGAAAACAUCAUACGAUCUAAGAAAUUAUCCAAAUUUAAAGACUCUUAACUUUCUUAAUUUAGUUUGUUAUCAUCAAAAUCAAUGUCAUGGUUAUGUCAACACUUCCUUUGCAAUUGUAGAUUAGUGAAAGUGUAAAAAAGUAAACUAAAAUGAGUGAUUGUGCGAGAAUUAAAGGUAUUGCAUCAAAUUGAUAUUAUAAGCCCAAAUUGAUAUUUGCAUUCCCAAUUAUAAAGUAUUGCAUCAAUACAAAAAGGCAACAUAUAUGUAAAAUGAAAACUGGUGCAUUUGACAGUAGAAAAUUGAAAGACUUUUACAUCUUACAAUUUGGGUCAAGGCCAUUAGCAAGCUUUUACAAUUUGCUUGUUAUGCGUCAGUACAAUAUUUUCCAAAUCAAGUUAUCAUAAAAAAUUAUCAUAAAUCACCUAAUUGAAUUUUUUUAUAAAAUUAUCAUAAACCACAGAACUAUCAUAACACAAAUACAAUAUAUUAGAUCCUAUUUUACUAUUUAUACUCAAUGAUUCCAAAAAUUAUCAUAAAUCACAUAAUUGAAAUUGUUUAUUUUUAAUUAUUUGACAGAAAAUUGAUCGUAUACAAGUGAGAGAUAGAGAGAGAGAGAGAGAGAGAGAAAUGAGACCUUUAGCAAUGGCAGUAUUGGCAUUAUGGUGAUGGCUCUGUUAGACCUGUGAUGCACUGGCGGUGGCUCUAUUGGCUCUUUAUACAUCAGCAUCAUGGUGGCAGCUCCAUUGAAUGCAAGGUUAUGGCUUUUCUUCUUCUUCUUUUUCCUUUUGAUAAGAGAUCAUUAGUUGAUCAUCGUCGGUCGUUUUUUAACAAAAUGAUCCUUUUUUUUCCAACAGAAUAAAUGUGCAAAGCUUUAGGAGAAAAGUGCUGCUAAACGAAGAUGAUAAGGUUUAGCAAAAAGGCUCGAUCUUCCUACUUUUUUAUUUUUUAAUUAUUAUUUUAAUAGUUAUUGUGGGUCACAAAUAAGAGAGAGAAGGGUGCACGAAACAGCAGCAAGUGCUGCCAUUUUGGUUGUCCUUCCCUCGUCCUUGGGCCAUCUCCAAUGCUUAACACUAUUUUAGUGUAACACCAACAUAAAAAAUUUUUUUUUUUUUACACUAAAUUAUUAUUUCAUCUCCAAUCCAUUUACACCAAAUUUUACACCAAAAAAAAUAUUCUUCUUUUUAUUAUUUUAAUUCUCAAUAAUUAAUUCAAUUAACACAAUAAAUAUUACUAUUAAUAUAGACAAUUAAGUAAUAAGUAAUUUUAUAUUGAUUAACAAAAAAAAAAGAAAAUUAUUAAAUUUGCAUUUAAUUAAUUAAAUUAGUAUAUUAUGAAAAUUAAACAUUACAUUAAUAUAGAAAAAUACAAUAACAGUAAUAAUAUUCUAGUUAUUCGAAUUACUAAAUUCAUCCCAUAAAUGAUCAAUUAAUGCAUUUCGGAGUGCAAUGUGAGCCUCUUUAUCCUUGAUUUGUUUGUGUCGAGCAAGAAAUUCUUGAAAUCUAGUAUUCUCAUAUACCCUCAUAUCAACGAUUGAUAUUGGGGCUUGCAUCCAAUCAUUAAUUGUUGCAUUAACAUCACGUUCAUCUUCGAUUAUCAUAUUGUGCAUAAUAAUGCAAGCCGUCAUUAUAUCAUGUAACAAAUUAAGAUUUUACAGAGAAGACCUCAGCAAUGCCAAUCAUCUCAAAAUACUUCCAAUAAUAUUGGCCAAUAUUUUGAUGAUAUUGGAGGAUCUAAUAAUGAUCUCCCAUAUUACUAAAUAAUUGUUCUAAUUUAUGCUAGUAGUAGUAGCUUUUUAAUUUGUGUUAAUUUAAUUUUGUAUUUUUAAUUUUGUAAUAUGUAAUCUAGUAAUUAAUGUUAUUGACAUUUUAUUUUUAUUAUUAAUUUUUGUGUUGAAUAUUUUUUAUUUAAAAUAUUAGUAUAAUAAUCAAAAAUUAAAAAAUGAAAUUAAAAUAAUAAUAAUAAUAACUUAAAAUAUUAUAUAAAAUAGGACAUAUAUGUAAGUAAAAAUAAUAAUAAGGACAUUUGAGAUUUUUUUUUCCCUAGCACCAAAUGAAUAGUGUUGCACCAUAUUUGGUGCAAUACUAUUCAUAACACCAUUUUGGUGUUACUUUGGAGAAAUAUUUUAUACCAAAAAUGGUAUAAAAUGUGGGGCAAAAUUAUGUUGCAACAGUGGUACGGUACCACUGUUACAACCAGCCAUUAGAUCUAUAGUUGUACAAUUGUAUUAAUUAUAUCCAAUGACUGAAAGCAACAUAGUUAGACCCUAAAAGGUGAUUUGGUGUUAGGUUUAGUGCUGCAUGGAGAUGCCCUCACGGCUAUUUAGCAUUUUUUCGAAGUUGUUUAGUUUUAAAUUAUAAAAAUUAUAUUGAAACGCACCGUUUCAAGCAUAAAUGUAAUUAUCCAAAACCCCAAGGGCAUUUCCAAAAACUGAUAAAACCCUAAACACUAACUAUAUAAGCCCCACUUAAUCCCUCGCGUCUGCUCCACCGGUAGUCAUUUUAGGGUUUCUCUGUGUGUUGCGCGCGCUUCCCUCAUAGCAAACCCUAACAAAAAAUGGCGACAGCAAAAGCAGGUCCAGUGGAAUCUGUACAAUGCUUCGGCCGCAAGAAGACUGCGGUCGCCGUGACUUACUGCAAGCGCGGUCGUGGGUUGAUCAAGAUUAACGGCUGCCCGAUCGAGUUAGUCGAGCCGGAGAUCCUCCGCUUCAAGGCAUACGAGCCAAUUCUCUUGCUCGGGCGACACCGAUUCGCCGGCGUGGACAUGAGAAUCCGCGUGAAGGGCGGGGGACACACGUCGCAGAUCUACGCCAUCCGCCAGAGCAUCGCCAAGGCUCUCGUGGCUUUCUACCAGAAGUAUGUUGACGAGCAGAGCAAGAAGGAGAUCAAGGACAUUCUCGUUAGGUACGACAGGACCCUGCUUGUGGCAGACCCACGGCGGUGCGAGCCCAAGAAGUUCGGUGGACGUGGCGCUAGGGCUCGGUUCCAGAAGAGUUACCGUUGAGCGGGAAUGCUAGGAAGCGAAACGAAACGGCUUGUUGUUUUGCUAUUAUAGUUUGUUUGUUUUACUUUGUUAUGAAAUUUUGGUUAUUUUGAGACUGGAUCAUUAAAUGUUAGUAGUUUAUGAGAUAUUAUUAUGGCUUUGGUGAGGCGGUAAUGAAUUACUGUUGAAGGUUAAAUUUUGUAAUGGAUGAUAUGGUUGUCUAAUGCAUGUUUUAGUGUCAAUUAAUUUUCAUUUGGGAUGUUUUUGUUUAAAUUUAGGUUAAUUAUUAUUAUAAUGUUCAGGUUUAAUUCUAUUGAAUGUAUGAUGACUGGUUGUUAUGUCGGAGAUUAGGCAUCUUGGGAGGCCUAGUAUUGGUUUUUAAUUUAUCUACGAGACCUAGAAAGUUGUCAAUUUAAUGUUAUUUUGGUCUAUAAACGGGAAGUAGAUCCACAUAGGGUUAUUUUUUUCUAAUGAUGUCAGUAUCUAAUUUGUGUAAAUAACAUCUAAUACACUUUUAUUUUGCUCAAUUGGUAUGUUGUUGUAUCUCUUGCGUUUGUCUGGUCUGGUAUGGUUUUGAGAAGAUCAUGGUAAUUCUUUAGUGAUAUGGUAAAUAGGGUCUAUAAUUUCAAGUAGUUUGAUUGCUGCUGUUGUUGCACCUUACUAAAAGAAAAAAGGAACAAAAAAACGGGUAAGGGAAAAGAACGGUGUGUUUAUGUUUGCAUUUUAGUUGAUUUUCUUCAUUUUGGUGAUUUCAAAUUUGAAGUAAUUCAGUGGAUGAACUCUAACUUGCCUGUUUUACCAAUGUCAAGAAUCCUUAUUCUUGAAGUGUUAAUUUGGAUAUAAUGUGGUUUAUUGUGAUUUUAACAAUCGAACCAUGUAGAAUUUGUAUGUUUCUGCAGCCUAGUCAUUGUUGAAGGUUUAUUGCAAUCAUUGAGUUAGUAGAAAUUCCCUGUGCUUCUAUUUCUGACAAAUUUUUUCUCUUAAUACAUUAGACCAAAUUUUAUUUUUCUUCUGAUUCGCCUUUCUAUAUUUGUCAGUACACCUUGGUAUGUUAAUAACUUUUGUUUGAUUGUCUGACAUUCGUUGGUUGUUAAUUUAUCUGUUUUGGAAUAUGCUAUAACCUAUUCAUUGUUGAAGGUUUGUUGCAUUUGUUGUUCUGAUUCACCUUUCUAUAUUUUAGUUGUCCCCAGCUCUCUACUUCAGAAUCUAAUAUGUUGUAACACUAGAACUAUGACCCAGAGUUUUUUUUCUUCUAUUUGUUACUGAUUGCUUGUAUGUUUGAUGCACAUUUCUUUUGUCUCAUGCUUCAUUGGUCUAGUGUUUUGGGUAAACCUUGUCAAGAAGGUAUUUCAGCUGUUUGUUUUAUUACUGUUGGGAGGUUAAUGUUCAUGUAAUAAUAUUAUCCUGAUCGAUUAUUGUUUCUUUAUAUUUACUUCUUGAAAAUAAUGCUUUUUGCUUGUAUUGGAUUUGAUUGCUAUUAGUGAAUUAAUUUUGUCCAAGUAUACUGAAGUUAUAUUAUUCACUACUAUGAUUUAUAUUGAGACUUUAGCUUGGAUUGUUGCUCCUUUCUUGGUAGAAAGAAAGUUCAUAUAAGAUUGCCAAGUAGAAUAUUUUUGCAGUACAACAAGGGCAUGUUAACAAAUGUUAUGGCAGAUUAUUCAACUAGUGAAGUCUUGGUGCAUUGCGAGUUUCCAACACUGCUCUGUUUCUCAUUGGAUGUUUCAUUGUAGUUUAGUUUGCAUUGUCACAGUCUCACAGAUAAGCCAUUGUGCUGCAUUUCCAAUUUCCCUUGCAGAAUGAUGUAGAUUGAGUUUAGUUUGCAAGUUUCUGCACGAUUUAAAUAGGUACCUCCUUGACCUUGAGAAUCAACAUUUCAAUUUAGUGUAUGUAUUUGGGUUGGGAAUUUUUAGAUUGGGUAGGUAUUUCUCUCCAAACAAGCCGGGUAUGGAGUCGAGUCAAAGCUCCAUGAAUUCGGCCCCUAGGUGAAAACUAUGAGAUAUAUACCUGGAAAGUUUGAUCGAUGUCAAGUUGUUGUUCAAGCGAAAGGGGUUGAUGUCAAGUUGUUGCUGUUGAAGUGAAAGGGGUUUUGUCCUCCACAUGCAUUUGUCCUCCGCAUGCAUUCUAGUUCAUUAAUCGCAUGUGGAGUCGAAGAGAGCCACCGUUACUUCAAAUUGGCAUCACUUGUAGGUUGUGGAGUUGAGGAGAGCCAGCGCUGCUUCAAAUUGGCAUUGUGGUUGCUUUAUCAGCUUUUAAGCUAUAUAGCCUAAUCACAAUACCAAACAAUGCGGCCAUAAUAAGCAUUUGCAUUCAAUGACGAUCUCAAAUGUCUCGCUCGUACUAGGCAGGUCUCUUACUGAUGGAAAUCAUGGGCACAUCGAAAAGUCUCGGUACAUCGAUCUCAAUUUUAUUAAUGAGUGAUAUGGCGAGUGGACCAAACUCCAUUCUUGAAGCAACAUUUUCUACAAGUACUCGUGUUGAUGGGUUGCACUCGACAUUAAAGAUCUAUUGGAAUUGAGAUUGAGCAGUUGUAAUUUAAAAGAUACGGUACUAAAAUAUGUAUAUUAUAUCUUUAAUAAUUUUGUCAAAAUUAUUAUUUAAAAAUGGUAUGUACUAUAUAUACUAUUAAUUUUUGUUUUAUAGUUACAAUUUUUUUCACAACAGUUAUAAUUUAAAAGUUACACCAUCUCAAUUUCAAAUAAAAUCUAAUUUUGUGGAUGGACGGUGGGUUUCUUUUAUCUAUAUUUACAACGAGCGACUCCUCUUUGAAACCAUUAGAGUGAAAACUUAAAGCCAUAGAGACACUUUGAAAGUAUUUUAUCAUUCUCUUCAUUCUCUUCAUUCUCUUCAUUCUUAGGUGGUGCGGAUUUACCAUUUCAUUGCAUACCAUUAUUUGUACUUGUUGCGUGGUGUGUAUAUAAAAUCCGUUUAUUUAUGAUAAAUUACCUGAGAUUAAGGUAGGUGGCUGGGUAGGUGAGGUGCCAGAAUCAAGGAACGGGCCAUGCGAGGUCCACCUUCAUCAUGGGAUUUGUUGACAUAGUAUUCAACACUAUGCUUUUUACUUUCUCAGAAUUAAACACAAUCACAAUGUAGUUCUAUAAAUUGACUUGUAUAAAAGCAAGCAUACAGUGAUAGUGCGUUACAUGUCCUCUUCUGUCUUUAUCCUUUUUUCAUUUUUUUCCCCUGAAAAGGGCAUAUUAUCAAGUUGAUGCAGGUAAAAUGAGAUGAUACUUAACUAACGAUGUGUUCAUGUUUGACAAUGAAACUUCAAUUACCCACACAGGGACCUUAUCUAAAAUAAAAAUAUAUCACAAAAUGAAUUUCUCCAUUUUCGGAAAUUUUGUGAUUUACUUCCACAAAUAACUAACAGUAUAAAUAAAUCACUUGAGAAGAGUCCAAAUCUCACUAUGCACUAGCCGUGAUAUUUUUUUAAUAUCCCAUAUUAAAUCGGGAUAAUUUCAUAUAAGAUUUAGGGCCCGUUUGGGAUUAUUUUUGGGAGGCUUAAAAAUAAUUUUGAAAAUCUCAAAAUUAAUUUGAGUGUUUGUAAAAAAAAAAAUUAAAAUCACUUUUGUCAAAAUAAAUCCCUCCUACAACUGAUUUUGAAAAAUAAAAAAGAAAACAGCUUUUAAAUUCUGAUUUUAAGAAUCAAUUUUAUCAUUUAAUACAAUUCCAAAAUUAUUACCUAAGCCCAAAAUUAUCAUUAUUCAAAUUGGAAACAAAAUCAAUAUUUUAAUAAAUUUUUAUUAUAAUUCAUCAAUAUAAAUUUAUUAAUAUUAAUUUGUUGGUUGAAUUAUUAUUAAACUUGUUUCACUAUAUUCUAAAUUUAAUUAUCAAUUGUUUUAAGACAAAAAAAAUCAGUAUAUCAUAAAAAAAAAUUGGGUUAACAUUAUUAUAAUACACAAUUAAAAACAUUGUAUGUACAUAUUUUUAUAUGUAGAAGUAAAUUUUAUCCUACAUAAUGUAUAUUUUAAUUAUUUGUUUCUCUCGACAAUUUAACAGUGCUUUCAAAACUUAUAAUAUUUCUGAAAAUAAAAUUUACCAAACAUUUAACUGAUUUUCUUCACAACUGAUUAUUUUUAAACUAGCCUUAGCCAAGAGUCCAUUUUGCAUCGAUAAAAUAAAGUACAAUAAUUUGCAUUAUAAAGAAAAAUGCACAAGAGAGGGGAAAAAAAUGGUAAAAUCACAUGUAGCAUUAUCUUCGAGGUACCGGUCAUCGGCGGCGGACCCCCUCAGAGAAUUGGUUUAGGCAUUUCACUUGAUCCGACGGCAGAUAGUGACUCCAUCGCCAACGGGGAGCAUGCAGAUUUCAAUCCUGGGGUCAGCAGCAAGGGCCUUGUUGAGCUCCAAGACGAAGUCUCGGUAAUACCUAACGUACUUCCUAAGGGGAGCAUCAGGUGGUGCCACGACGGAUCCGUUCCAUAGGGUGUUGUCGUACCCGAUCACCCCUCCAACCUUCACCAACUCAAUCAACCUCUUGUGGUAGUUUAGGUAGUUGUCCUUAUCAGCGUCCACAAAUAUGAAGUCAAAGGACCCAUGGUUCUUCUCCUGAGGUUCACCACACGCAAUCACUAAUUAAUUUACAUCAAAUAACAAAGAAUCACUAAUUAAUUUACAUCAAAUAACAAAGAAUAAAAUAAAGCACAUUCUUUAUGUUUUAUUCUUGCCAGACGUUUUAAUGGAAAUGGUGCUCUUUUUUUUUUUUUUUUAAAAAAAAAAAAGAUCAUGUUGGUUGUUUAUCUAAUUGUAGUAAUAAUAAAUUUUUCCUAUUAUUCUCCCAACUUUAGGUAGGAUGGGUGGCCUAAAACUUGUUAAAACAAUUUUUAUAAUUCUACUAAACAUGAUUCACAUUUUUUUUAAUAUUUUUAACAGACUAUCAAAUGCGUUUUGUAGCAUUUUCACAUUCACAAUUUUCUUUUUUCUUUUUUUUCUUUUUUGAGGAAGAAAUGAAAGAAUGAGAGCAAAAAUAUGGAAAACAAUUUUGUGAUUUUGGAAUGGUGGGUGUGGUGAGAUUUUUUUACAUCUUGGAUCAGCAGGUCAAGAACAGGCAGGGCAGGGCCUUCUCUGAAGUCAAUCUUGUGAGCAACACCAGCUUUUUGGAUAACUGGCAGCCCCAAUUCAUAAUUUUCUCUGUUGAUGUCCAUGGCCAAAAUCUGCAACCGAAGCAAAGGAAAUAUAUGUAUAUAAAUAAAAAAAAAAGGAAUAAAAAUGAAUGGCACAAUUAUUGCUAGUUAUUACACCUUUUCAUUUAUCCAUCCCAUUUUGGGGAUGUUACUAAAAUUAACAUCUAGGUGGAUAAAAUCAUCAAUAUUACCUUGCCGUCAUCAGGAAGGGCAAGGGCAGUGGCCAAAAGAGAGUAGCCUGUGUAGACUCCAAUCUCCAUUGUGUUCUUUGCAUUGACCAGCUUCAACAGCAUGUUCAAGAACUGCCCUUCGUCUGCCGACGUUGUCAUAAUGUUCCUGUUUCAUCAUCUCAAAAAACUUUGUGACCGUCUGUUGAUUUAACUGGUAAAUUUUUUUAUUUUUUCUUAUUUUUGGAAGUGAUACAAAACAAUAGUGAAUUUAAACUACCAACCAUGGAUGUUUGGCAGUCAAUUCUCUAAGCUCCUUCAUUGAUUCAGGCUCUCUUGGGUACACACUGGUUUCAAGAAUAUACUGCAAGAAAGAGAGAUAUAUAAAAAUAGUGAAUUUAGAAGUUCGAACCAGGAUCAGGAACAAGAAUAUGACAAAAAGCCUUUUAUGUAAAGGGUAAUUAAAUUAUUGUAUGAAUUAUAUAUAUAUAUAUAUAUAUUAAAAGUUACCUGGUAGAGGGCAUCGGAUUGGAGCAGGCUCUUGUGACCAACUUCCUGGUGUCUGCCUUGUUGGUUUUGUUGAUCUUCUGCGUUGGACGCCAUUGACGCAAAUCUUUUCUUUUGAUGUUGGAUUUUGGAGUUUUAAAAGAGUAACUUGAGUUGGAAAAUCUGAAGGCUGUGAUGGGGUUUAUAUGGGAAAUUGAGAGGCCGGUUUGCUUGCCCGGGCUGGAUGGAAAACCCGGUCGGGGGUUGGUGAAGUCCACAGUUAGACAGCAUGAGUCUUUUGUUCGUGGCCCACGCUCAAAAAUUUGUUCCCCAACAUUUUUUUCAUCAUUAUUUCAUCACUCUCUCUUAUAAUAAUUAAUUGUAGCUAACGUUAGACUUAUUUUCUCGUCAAUUAAAUGUUUUCAUUUCUUUAAUCAACAUAAAUUCUUAGCAUAUUUCAAAAUUUUAGUCGUCCUCUUUGUUUAUUUAAGUUGGGAUUUAACUAUCUUUAUGUAUAUCGUUAUGAGAUUACCUUGGGGGUAAUUAGGUGAUUGUAGGUACGUUUGCUAGAAGAUUAGGCUCUCUUUGAGGGUGGUGGGGGGCAUAUUAUUUUGUAAUUAGAAUAAACAAAAAUGUGGCUAAGCAAAGUUGGUAAAGGGUUGGUGAAGGGAAGAGAAGAUUAGAAUUUUCACACAUGGCCCAUGUUGGUUCGGUAUAUGCAGAAAGCAGAGUUGGUGGCCACCUCACAUUUCUUGACAAAUAAGAGUGACGCUUUUCAUGUCUUUUAGAUAAUACAACUCUUUUCCUUCAAAAAAAUAAGAAAGGGGGACUGUUCAGUAAAAUCUCAAUUUGACAGUUGGUCUUAUUAUUAGUGAUUAUUUGGGUAUUUACUAGAGAUUUGCUCAGUUGAGUGAGAUACGAUGGUGUGUGAUUUUUAUUCGAACUAUUGAUUAGAAUUUGAAUCUAUGAAUAUAACUAAUGGAUACUAAAAUUUGAAUCUAUGAUUAAUUUGGUGGGUGCUUAUGAUUUAAACAGCAGCAUAUAUAAACCAUUGGAAAAGAUUAGAUAACAUAGUCUUCACGCUCACAUAUGAGUAACCGUGCAAUCACAAGGCAAAUAUGUCAAAAGCUACAUCAAAUAGCAUUUGAGAAAAUACAUGUCAUGCUCGCGCGGGACUAUCAUCACACAGAUGCAGAGUGAAUAUAACAUGUCAUCCCUGAUAAAACUAACAGCAUCCCACUGACAAAGUAAAAUUAGUAUGCACGUAUAGAAUACUUAAUACAGAAGAUCAUGGAUACACAUAUGGUAAUUUGUUACUGUGUUUCUUGGCAUAAUCAAUCAUAUAACAUGCACACAUUUAAUCAUAACAUGUUAUUAAACUACAUUGUUAUUCAUAUUGUUUUUUUUUUUUUUGAGUGUUUGUAAGGGUUUCUGCGAGGUUGAUACACGGACGAAUUUAUAAGUAUGAUGGUGCGUGAUUUUAUUAGAACUAUAUAUUGAUUAAAUUGAAUUGGAUUUAAAGAACUCUUGAUGUGAAUGUAACUAAAUAGAUAGUAAUAUGUGAAUCUUUGACUAAUAAAUAUGGUGGGUGCUUAUAAUCUAAAUAGUGGCAUGCAUAAAUCAUAGGAAAUAAUCAUGUCACACGAACUUUAUACUAAGUAUAAUACAUGAUAACCACUUAACCAUGUUGUGCUUACGAAACUAGCAUUAUCACACUGAUAAAUUAAAUAACACAUGUUAAUAUGUAUGUACAAAAUAAUGAAUACCUAAUGAGAAUGGUACUUAUUUGGUGAUUCACAAUUACAUCUCAUGACAUGAUUAAUUAUAUAACACACACAUAUCUAAUCAUAACGUUUUACUAGGCCAUACUAUUAUUUAUAUUUAUUCAUGGAAUAUGUAUAUUAGUAACAAAGCAAUUCACUUACGAGCUUGAUGGGGAUCUUGGGUAUGUAGAUUUCUCCGGCUUGUCUUCACUCUUCUUCUUUUUCUUUUUCUUUUUUCCUUUUUCAGUCACUUACAUUUAUUUCUUCUUUCUCUCUUCAUUUUGGCUUUCACUCUCCUAUACUGCUCUGACGUUUGCUUCCAAUUAACAAAGAAACAGCUUUUGAUAAAAAAAUAUAUAAUACCCAAAAAAAAAAUUAAAAAAUUUAUUCACCGAAUUAAGCUCACUAGUGGGAAACUUGAUGAAGCAUGCUGCUGUUAUUCGGUGAAGCAGGAGCUGGAUGUUUCAAAGUCACUAAGCCACGCUGGCCUUCUUAGGCAGCUUAUUGCCACAAGCUUGUUCAUUACGUCACCUUUCUUGAUAAUAAGAGAUACCUUACAUGUCUUUUGGAUUUAAUUCUCUUCACUUAUAAAAUAAGAAAGGGGUAGCUAAGUAAAUUUCAAUUUGACUAUUUAGUAUUUUAUGACUAGUGUGAUUAUUUGAGUUAAUAAGUAUAAUGGUGUAUGAUUUUAUUUGAUAUUAAUAGGGUUUAACUAAAUAUGAAACAUGAAGAUAACUAUUAAUAGAUACUAAUGUUUAAAUCUCUGACUAAUUAAUUUAGUGGGCGAUUGUGAUUUAAGUAGUAGCAUAAAUCAUUGGAAAUGAGACAUAGGGUUACCCAAAAUAUUCUUGAAGGAAACUUCAAAGUUUGUUGAGGGUUUGAGAGAGCAUAUUUUCUUAGAAUCAAAGCCUUGAGAUUUUGAGCUUAACAACUCCAAUAAAAGAAAGUGUGAAUAUGGUGAUAGUGGGUACUGUUGUUGCCAAAUUUUUCUCCACUUUGGUUACUCAGAGUUGGUUGGUCCACGUCGACAUCCACUAGAACCUCACCCACCCUCGUUAUCAUUGACUCUUCCAGUAUCACUUACUCUUUUGUCUUUUUGGUCAUGGGAGAUGCUAAUUUUUCUCUAAUAAUUUAGUACUCUUUUGUCUUUUUGGCCAUUGGAGAUGAUAAUUUUUCUCUAAUAAUUUAGUAUUUGUUCUAGGUAAUUUUUAUUUGGUCCCCGUGUACCUGGAAAUAAAACUAUAAAAGGCUGCUACUAAAGUAACUUUGCUUUAUUGAACAAUUUGGACUGCCUUCUGUCACUCAAUUGCAGACACUAUCUAUUGUUUGGAAUAUUUUCCUUUGCACAUUUACAUGCCAAGUUUACUGUUGCCCCUUAUGUGCUGGGAAAAUGUUAAGAAAAUUGAAGAAAUGUCUCAUGUGCACAUCAUUUUUGAACACUGAAUGCAUAUAACUUAAGAGCACGACCACUAACCAAUAUGAAAUGGACAGAUAUUUUUGUAGCAGAAAGAGGCCAUGGGUAGUUAUUCCUUGAACAAAGGGCCGGAAAGAGAAGAAGAGAAACAAACAUAUGCACACAACAUGCUCCAACUCGGUUCAACGUAACCUUGUCCAAGCAAUAUGAGGAUUGAUAUACAUCCUAUUCUGUGUACUCCAUGACUUUUGCCAUUAUACCCACCUGUGUCUUUUGCUGUCUUCCUUCAUCUGCCGAUGGCUUCUUUGAUCUUGGUUGUGUUUUCAGUGAUAUAUAAAAUUGUCCUAUACUGCUGGUACCUGUACAGUAUAAAUAGAACUAGUAUUCCUAUUUCUGUACAUGUCUCAAACUCAUCCAUUUCAAAGUUUCACUUAACUAUAAUAAAUCAGCAAACAAGUUUCUUGACAGGAAUGUGAAUAGAUACCAUAGAAAAUAUAGUGUUUUAGACGUUUAGGCCAUAACAAAGUCUAUCGUUUGCAAAACUGAAUGAUGUCGCACUGUAACAUUCAGUUGUCAUCGAUGUUACCAAAGAAAAAAAAAAACACAAACAUAUCCAACAUGCCCAACUGGCCAGCACAAUUCAACAUAACCAUAUCAUAGCAAAUUGGGGAAUGAUGAUUUUAUUUUGUCCAGUCCAUCAACAAUCAUAUUUCAGUGAAAUGAUGCCCUAGGACCUUGGCCAAGUAGUUUUCAAGCAGUUUUAUAUGGCUAAUCACCCGAGUUUGAAUCAUGAGGGAGGUAGGGAGAUUAAAAAAAAAAAAAAUUAUUUAAACUUUGCCCACCCUUAUAUCUUUUCUGGAAAAAAAAAAAGGGUCAAAUAUAGGCCAAUAUAACUUCCGCCACCGUAUCCAUCCCUGCCUUGCUCUCUUCCUUCAGCUGGCAAUAGCUCUUGGUUAGUUUCUCAUGAUUUUCUCCUAUAUGGGUGCUAACUCUACCAUCUAAAGAAAACAUAUGCUUCUAGAUCUGAGACAAUCAUAUGAUCAGAAAACAAGUUUCUCAACAGCCUCGCAAACAGUACCAUAAAACAUAAAGUUUUUAGGCCGUCAACGAAGUCUGUUGGUUUUUUGAAGUUAAUGACACAACAAUGUAAAAUUCUCAUGUCAUAUUUACCAGAAAGAUGCAGCAAAAGAAGAAUACAAGUGAACCUAUAAUGCAGUUAGAUAAAAAUGGGGCUUGGACACCUCAGAAAAGCAAGCUUGCUUCCUGCAUUCACUGAAAGCAUCACUGAGCUUCUGUAUAAUUCUUUAUCCUGGAAUUCCGUAUGGAACUUCUAAAUUAAGUUAUUUAACAGAAUUAAGGGCAUUAAACCAAACAUAAGUAACCCUUCUCUCUUAAAGAGCUUGAUUUUGAUGUGAAAAAAAAAAUUUGGUCAGAGUAUUCUUCCUGAUUUACAUGGAUCAAGUAAUAGUUAGAUUUUUAAUAACUAAUUCUAUGGCCCGAGUCUGAUGCAAUAAGCUGCUCCUGUUUAGUGGAUCACUAGUAUAUCAGAAUCAGCUUUGAGUCUAGAACUCACAGCAUCACUGAUGACUUGAAAUCUGAUUAUAUUUCAGUUUGGCAGUUAUACAAUAUAUUGGUUUUGAGAAUUCAGGCCCAUCAACUGUAACAAUAGCUAUUCAUAUAUAUUUAGAUAAUUUCUCUUCAUAAAAGAUCAAGAACCAAAUAUACUACUCAAAUGUUUCUUGAGUAUCAUUAAAAAAUAAUAAUAAUAAUAAUAAAUCUAAAUGUUUUCUAACAUCUAAUAAAAGCACCCAAAAAGCAUAAUAAUUAUUAACCUUAUUAUAGACUUUUUUCAAUAUUUCUGUUCAUUGCAAAAUCGAUAGAAAAUGAAAAGGAAAAAGGAAAAAAAAAAGUGGAUUUUAUUGACUGAAGUAACAUUAUGUUAAUAGCUGCUGUCAAACUUCUAGAAUUGCAUGCUAUGCUUCUAGUGCCCGAUAUGACCAAUGGGUAUAUCCUUCCAAGUCGUUUCCUUGAAUGGGUGGUGAAAACAUCACAUGAUAUUAUCCAUGUAUUAACAAUAACCAACUCAAAUGUAAGUUUAUACUUUAUGCAUACAAAGGAGAACAAGAACAACUCCACUGCUAAAAAACAUUACUCAGUUUAACUUGGUUCUACAAAACUUUGUUAGUCUUACAUUUCGUCCGAGGUUGAGUCUUCAGUUAGGAACCAAUAUUUUUCAUAUAAAGAAUCGCUGCUCCAGACCCCAAAAAGAACAUUUCUUUGAUUGUCAGAAAAACUAAAUGCAGCUAGCAAACCAUGUCCGUCAUCCAAAGAUCAGCCAAAGCCCAUGCAAAAGGGACCUACAAGCAAUGAUAAUCAUCCUAAGCAAUUUUUAAGAGAUUCCUAGUAUCAUAUAUCAGUACACACACAAAUCUAUCACUUUGUAGAUUGAAUGGCAGUCAAGGAAGAAUUGGUGGAGAGAUUUUCACCUUAAAGGUUCUCUGAAAAAGGUCUUAAUACACAGAUGGAUAACAACCCAAACCAAAAGUUGCAGAAGAACUUGUUAGAAAGAUGCUUAUUUACAGAGUCUUUGAAAAGGCCUCUAUAUCUAAAAGUGGAAACCACCUCAACCCAAAAACUCACUAUUUUUAUCUAAAAAGUGAGUCACGACACUUAUAGUCCGCACACAAUGACACAAUCAGUGUAGAUACUUGUCAACACUCAUUCAGACCAAAUGAAUGUUGUUGUACCAUUUCUUAGGAAGAUUGUCUCACUGGGAGUUUUUGGAAAUAGCCUUUAUAUAAAUAUGAGAACAACACAUCAAAUCCACAAAAUAAAUCACUUACUAUGUUCUUUAUGACAUGGACGCAUCACUAACACAAGAAUUCUGAUAAAAUUUCAUUUUGGUGCGGUACUAAAUUAGUCACAAUCCAGAUUUUAUAUUAUCAACAGAAAGGAAGUUAAGAUAUUAAGUUUGAGGACUAAUUGCAGGAGAAAAGGAAAGAAAAAGCUUUCACUUGAUUAAGCAAUGAACAACCGAUGCUAAACUGACGGUGUCUACAUUAAUAGGACGUUAAAAUGGUUACAUUUCAAAAAAAUAAAAAAUAAAAAAUAAAAAAUAGAAAAUAGGUUGAAGUAUAAACAAUACUUGCUAGGACAAGGGGAUAUAAGCGUAAUGGGAGGGGAAAAAAUAAUGAAUUCAAAUGGACUUCAUGAUAGUUGUUAAAUAAUCCUCUAUUGACUAUCUAAAAUAAGUCUGAUCUCUUACUUGAAACGCAAUCAUUGUACCGAACUGCUGGGAUCCCUAUGAUAACUUGAGUCAUGUUGAACUCUUGCUCUGGUAGCUAAUGCACUUCGUAUAGCAGAAGCCUUUUUCUCAGUUGAAUUUUCCUCCAAGCUAGCAUCACUAUAAUACUGAGAGCUUUCAUCAUGCAAUGAGUAAUCUCCCAGCUCCUCAAACAAACCAGAGAAAUCCUCUCUCAUUAGUAGAGCGUUGUGUAGAAUUGAACAAGCACCAAUAAGAGCAACUGCAGUCUUAAAAUCCUCAUCAAUUGGCCUACUCAAAACACCCCAGUUCUUCAAACUAGCAAUGGCUUUCAAUGCCGGAACACGCAUCAAAUUAUGCGCUGCAUUGAAAUUCUCUUCACUUGACCCUGGAUUUGCAUCAACAAAUGGCACCAUUAGCCAUGGAAGCAAAGGGUACCCUCCAUCACCAAUCAAAUACUGAUCCACGGCCACCCCAUUAACGCAAAUUGGACUAGAAUUCAAUAACUUCUUUUCUUCAAUAUCUUUAUACAAAGUUGAAGACUUCAGGACUCUUGAAUCACCCUUAUCGCCACGAAUGCCGGCAACAAUGCUCAACAUUCUUGAAGAUGAGUCAACAACAAUUUGCACUGCAAUGCUAUCUUCGUCUUUUGAAGAAUUUGAUCCAUCAAUUUUAAUAAUCUUGAACCUAGUACAAUCAAUAACACCACAACAAUUAGGCAACCCUGUGAGUUCCUCAAAGGAUUUUGAUAUCAAUCCAAGCUCUUCUGGGCCAGGAAACGCAACCCAGAAUCGAAAAUUGGUGCAAAGGACGCGACACAACUGUUUAACACAAAACCGAGUCACCGACUCAGUGACCUCAAAUCUGGUUGCAAUUUCACUGUAAGUUGACCCAUUAACUAACCUAAAGAGCCCAAUACCGAGCCGAAUAUCAGCCGAGAGAUUCAAGGGCAAACCAACUGGGUCACGGCAGUCCAGUAACGGCUCGAGCAACCCAGAUAGCCAUCUGAAUGUGGAAGAGCUCAUUUUGAAAGAGUUCCUGAACGAGUCAGGGAGCUGAGUAAAACCGAGUUGACUCAGCCCAUGUCCGAGUCUGGAGGUUUUGUCAUCAUGGGUCGGCUCAAGCUCUUCUUCCGACGAAUGGGUUCGCUUUCUUUUCCUGGAAAUCGAAAGAAAAGUCAAAGAAGCAGCGACCUGUUGUGAUGAAAUAAAAUGGGAAAUUAGAGGGAAAAGGUUUGUCCUUUGAGUGGAAUCAGAAUCCGGGAACAAAAGGAGGAGGAGGAGAAAUAAUUGAGAGACUAAGGAAGAGAGAAAAGCUGACAAUUUUUGGGAAUCCAUGAUCUUUGUCCCGGAAUCUAGAUUGGGAUUUUUGUGUUCUUGGGAAAAGAGCUGUGCGUUGUGUCAGAGUUUUCUUGUCAGAGUGAAUCUGUGAAGACAAAACAGAAAGAGGCACCUGGCCAUGUUUUUGUCUUUGUGUUAAUUUUACAAUUAUGGAAGUUUCUUUUUGGGCGCGGCGCACGUGAGUAAUCUAUUUUGGAGACUUUUGAUUUUCUCUAAUUUUGGAUUCAGAUUCACUGCAGCUUUUGGUCAACGUUGAAAAGUAUUAAAGGAGCAUACUAGGGAUUAUAAGGCAUAAAGUAGAGAUGGCAAAAGUGCGGGUCGGGUCCGGGUUUGGGGCUGCCCGGGACCGAUUCGCAUGUCACACAUAGCCACCCGGAUCCGGACCGUGUUCGAAUUUUUUCUAUGCGGGCCGGGUAUAUGCCUGGCACUAUCCGGGCACGGGUUUUUUCCGGAUUUUCUCUACCCGCAUUUCCAAAGCUGCUUGUUAAUUGCCCAGUUCUCAACCAUUGUUUUCAAUUACAAGAACUCGUUGAUUAAAAAGAACUGCGAGAAAGAUUUAAUUUCCAUUUAUGCAAUGAUUAGAAGAUGCAACAUCCACAAAUCUAGUGAACAACGUAGAUCAAGAGAGGCCUGAUGUGGACUUAAUUUUUUUUUUCUUUUAAACUGCAAAAGAAUGAAUAAAACCCAAAUUCAACUUUUAACCCCCACCACUUCAGAAUUCAAAAGGUUACCUUAAAAUUGAUAUAAAAUUAUAACCAACAAAGCGACAAUUUACAAGAAGCCGACGCGAAAAAUGCAAAAUUCUAAUAAAAUUAUAUUUAACUUAAACCGAAGAAUAAAUAGUCAAAACAAAACCAAUUUAAGUUUUUUUUUCAAAAAAAAAAUUAUGAUACAAUAUUCUUUGCAUCUCUGCAACAACACUGCUGUAGUUCUGCACACUAAACAUAAUGGAUGCAACAACACUGUUGUAGUUCUGCACUGGAAGUCUGGAAAUAAAAAUGCAGCCAUGCUUCAAAACUGCAACGUUGCUUUGCAAUAAAUGAAAAGAGUUGACCGAGGAAGGUAAGAGGUUCGUGGAGGGAGAGGGGCGGUCAACACUGCAUCGGUGCCGGUGGGUGGUGGCUGCUGGUGGAGAGACGAAAAGAGGUGUUGCGUUUGCGAGAUUUCAGUGUGUGUUGCAUUUGCGAUUUAGGGUUCGGUUUGGGAGCAUCGGUGCCGGUGGGUGGUGGCUGCUGGUGGAGAGACGGAAAGAGGUGUUGCGUUUGCAAGAUUUCAGUGUGUGUUGCAUUUGCGAUUUUGGGUUCGGUUUGGGGGCAAUUGGGCAAAGCAAAAUGUAUUUUUGCUUUUAUAUUUUCCUCUCUUUUUUUUACUUAAUAAAAAACCGGACACGGGUCCCAGUUCCGGGUUCUUGAUGCUGUGACCGGACCCGUGCCCGGAAGUAGCCGGGCAUUGAAAAUCAAUGCCCGGAUCCGCUUUUUCCAUGCAUCCGGUCUGGGUAAAACCCGGACCGCAUACGCCGGGUCCGGGCCGGAUCCGGUCCGGGCGGGUUUUUCUGCCAUCUCUAUUUUAUAUUUUCCUCUCUUUUUUUUACUUAAUAAAAAACCGGACACGGGUCCCAGUUCCGGGUUCUUGAUGCUGUGACCGGACCCGUGCCCGAAAGUAGCCGGGCAUUGAAAAUCAAUGCCCGGAUCCGUUUUUUCCAUGCAUCCAGUCCGGGUAAAACCCGGACCGCAUACGCCGGGUCCGGGCGGGUUUUUCUACCAUCUCUAAUGGGGAGGGGAUCAAUCUCUCCGUACCUAUCCCUGAUAUUUUGUGUAUAUCCCCGUCCCCUCUCUGUUCCCGUCAGAAUUACUUGAGAGAAUCCUCAUCCCCUCCCCGAAUAAUAACAAGGGAUCCCCAAGGGUCCCCGAUCUCCGAAUAACUAAUACAUUUUUUGUUUUCGAUUUUGAGUUAAUCAUAUUAAAAUAAAAAAUUUAAAUAAAAGUAAAGUUUGAAAUAUAUCUUACAUUAAUAUCCAUUAUAAAAGUCACAUACAUUAAAUUAGUAAGUAACGCAACAUGUAAGGGAUACAAACUUCUUUACAAACUAUCGUGAAUAAAUUAAUAGUUUAAUACAAAAUUAUUACAAAUAAAAUCGAAUUUAGAUUCAAAAUUAACUUUUUCAAUGGUGGCGUGGGCACUUUAUAAAUGUGGACUAUUCCCUUUACAACACAAUAGUUAAGUUAGAGCAAAUCAAGAGCAAAUAUUAGAUUAGAUUAGAUUAGAUUAAAUUAGAUAUUAAAAUUGUGAUUCGUUGUGGGCAAUUAUAACAUCUAAAAAUAAAUAAAAAAUAUAUUUAUGUUUAAAACAUUUAAUGAAUAUUAAAAUUAAAAAAUUUUGGGCUAAUAGAAUUUACCCGGUUGUUUUAAUGUCCUAAAUAAAAAUUUAGGACUUUAAUUAGUUAAUUAGGCCUAAAAGUUUAAUAAUAUAAAUAUUUUGAUAAGUUUAAUAAUAUAAAUAUUUUGAUAUUUGUUAUUUUUACCAAUAUUUAUAAUUUUAUAAUUCAAAUUUUAUUAUUUAUUUACUAGUAAUUUUAAAAAAUAAAAUUAAAAUUAAAAAUUAAAAUAGGGAAAUGGGUAGGGCAUGGGGAUUCCACCUCAUCCCCGUCCCCUCCCCGAAUAAGAAAUUAUGUAUGAAAUUAUCCUCAUAUUCUCCCCGAAUGGGAAAAAUCCCUAAAGAUACCCGUCCACAUGGAGAUUUUUGCCAUCCCUAUUAAAGCCCAACAUAAUAAAACUUCGAGAUAUAAGUAGAAAUUCACAUAAGCUUAACAUGGAAAAACAUUGGAGAAAAUAUUUUUACCGUCACACGAAAGGACUUAAAUUCUCAAAUUCUUUAUCCUAUACAACUUUAUUUAUGAAGUUACAGGAGGUCGAAAAAGUUUCUAAGUAGUCCAAACUACUAUCUUAUCUGUUAUAACCGUGGAAAAGAAAACCAUCAAUUUAUUAUAUAUAUAUAUUUUUAAAUUUUAUCAAUAUGUUUGACACCUAGCGUGAUCCUUUUUUUGCGAGCAAUAGUCAAUUAAUUUGCUAAGAUUUCUUAAAUACUGUAGGUGCUGUAUUUCAAAAGACACGUAACUAUGUUACGUGUCCAUCUUAUCAGAUAAUAGAAGAUAUUUUAGGAUAAAUAACACCCAAGUUAUUCCGGGAUAAAUAACAUUCAAGCUAUUCCGGGAUAAACAACACCCAAGUUAUUUCGGAGUUAUAUGAGUAAGGAAACAUACAGAGCCAUAAUAAUUCCUUAGAUCUUAUUCACCUCCACGUGUACAAGAAUGAUGGGUGACACAUGUCGUUCGAUUGAGGGUUCAAAGAAAAACCAUAAAUCCACAUCACUCAUCAUCUAUAAAUAGACACUUAUCUCUAAGAGAAAAUGGGUUUUUGGCCUCCAAAAAAAGCAUUGUUCAUAUUUAGAGAAAGAAACUAAUAUUCUCCAUUUUUUUAUUUCUUUAAUCUUAAUCAAACACUAACUUGGGCAUCGGAGUGCCUUUUUCAGGUAUUCAUUCCUCCGAAAUCGAGGCCAACGGUCGUGACAAGUUCUUCACAAGGUACAAAUACGUGUGAAGGUAAAAAAUUCCAGCCACCUUCAAAUACUACAAUAAAUUUUGAGUUUGAUAUUUCCUCACUUAGCCAUCUUUUUGUUAGUGAACAAAAAAAAUUAUUGGCCUUCCUGUCUUUUGAUUGAAUAGAAAGCAACAUGUCCUCUCAUUGUAGAGGGAGUAACUCAUGUUUCAUACGGGUGAAUUCAAAAAUUUUUUUUUUUCUGAAAAAUUAGAAAUGAAUAAAUAUGUUUCUAAAUAUUAGUGGGACAGACAUAUUGCAAAAACUUAAAAAAAAAAAUUAGAUUGUUUCAUAAUAAUAGUUCUUUAGUUUGGUUCCAGUAGUUCUAAUUGUAAAUAUUAGUGUUAAAGAAACAAAAAAGACGUAUCACUGGUAAUUUCACCUUUUAUAAAUGAUUGUUUUCAUUCUUUUAACCCUCACUUUUACAUGUUGUAUACAAUUCACAUCACGAAAACGUUCAUCUUUCUAAACUCUAAACCCUACAAAUCUUGUUGGCCCCCCAUGGCCAACUUGCUAGUAGCCUGUUUGGAUGCUUUUGACACCUCUUUAAAAUCCUUAUAAAAUCUCCCCUCCCUUUUUUUAAUCAUAGUUUUAUUAUUUUAGAAAUUACAUUGAUGGCGUGCUUUAGAAUUAAAAUGAUGGGUUCCAUCUAAAAUUUGAAAUUAUUAGUAGAGUUCCUAUUUCAUGGGAGAGGUUGGAAUAGAAAUCUCAAUCCCUAAAGUGAUCACAUCAUUCCCACUUAAUUUUUGAAAUUCUCAUUUUUUUAUUAUUAUUAUAAAUAAAUAAUGAUAAUAAUCAACAAAUGUUAGUUUAGUAACUUGUAACAAUUUAUUUUGAUUUCAAGAUAAAGUAAACAUAUUAAUGGUAAUACAGUUUAUUACAAUUCUAAUUCCUACAAUUAAAAUAAACAAUUUAUUCCAUAAAGGGUAAUUAUUAAUUUUACUAAAUACAUUUAAAAUUACGAGCCCUCCCAUAUACACAUCUUUUUUUUUUUAAUUCAAAAUAACUUUGAGACAAUUAAAAAAAAAAGCGUUACCUGAUGAUAAAAUUUUUAUUAUAAAAAAGUAUGUUUAAAAUUUGAUUACCUGUAUUAUAUUAUUUUAUCUUUUUCGUAAUUUUCAUAGAACCAAGUGUUACAAAAUAUAAUAAUGAGACUUCAUAAAAAUUUUAAAAUGACGUCAGGAGCUCAACUCCUCAAAUAAACAUCGCGCUCACAUCAUCUCCUUGUAUGGGCUGUCUCCUGUCUGUAGUCACAAAAAAGUCGGCCCAUCAACUUCAAAACACCCAACCAAUUCAAAAAAAAAGGCUCAUAUUCAAUUUCGUCACUUUUCACAUUUUUCUUUGAAAGUUACGAACUCGAAAAAUGAAAUGUGUGGGGGCACCUCCUUCCCUCCUCCGGAAGCUUGAAUCGCCUGCCUGCAUAUGGAUAUGGGUAUGUAUUAAUUUAUUUGUUCAUUAAGAUUCAGGAUUUUCAGAAAAAAAAAUCUAAUAAGUACUGAACUAUGAUACAUAAAAAUAAUAAUGAUUUAUUUUGUGUAAAUAAAAAAUACUUCUUAAAAUUUUUUAAUAUUAUAUUAUUUAUUUUUAAAUUACAUAAGACUAAUGUUCAAAUUACAACUCACAUUACAUUCACUUAAUUAUAUACUAUAAUUAAGAGAGGAAAUAAGUCUUUACAUGCGCUUGAACCCUGUUCUCAUAACUUUAGAGUAAGGUUCUAGAAAGGCCGAGUGAUUUUUUUAAUAUUAUAUUAUAAUCUAUUUAAAUUGUUUAAUUUGAUAUGGUAUAGCACUAUAGCUUGAAUUUCUAAGCUUAAAAUAGGCAUGGCAUUAGAAACUUGCAUCCAAGCGUGAAUAUAUAUAUAUAUAUAUAUAUAUAUAUAUAUAUAUAUAUGUAUUUAAAAAAAUCUUAUUUUUAAUUGCAUAUCAAGCAUCUGAAUUAUGUUUUAUCUUUGUGUAGAUAUUUAAGUGAAAGAUAAUUACUAAAAAUAGUGAUAAUUGAGUCUAAGCGAAAAAACAAAAGAAAAUGGGACCCGCUCCAUUGCAUGAAAGCUACGUGUACAACAACAUGGCUGUAAGGAGACAUAAGACCAAAGCUAAGCAAACACGGCCACUAAACACAAACUCACAACAAAAUCUUUAAUAUCAAUUUUCUUUUCUUUUCUUUUUCUUUUUUUUUUAAAUUUUUCACAGAUUACAUUCAUUUGCACCAUCACAAAUUUUACUUUUGUUUACAUUUAAUUUCAUUUCUCUCUCUCUCUUUUCCUUUCCUCUCAUCUCGUCCAUGGCUGAUGGCUCCCCAGUUUCUUGUUCUGGUCUCUGUUUAAUUUCCAUUAUUCUUCAUCUCUUCUCUCUUUUGUUUGGUAAAAAAUUACAAUAAAAAAGUAANNNNNNNNNNNNNNNNNNNNNNNNNNNNNNNNNNNNNNNNNNNNNNNNNNNNNNNNNNNNNNNNNNNNNNNNNNNNNNNNNNNNNNNNNNNNNNNNNNNNNNNNNNNNNNNNNNNNNNNNNNNNNNNNNNNNNNNNNNNNNNNNNNNNNNNNNNNNNNNNNNNNNNNNNNNNNNNNNNNNNNNNNNNNNNNNNNNNNNNNNNNNNNNNNNNNNNNNNNNNNNNNNNNNNNNNNNNNNNNNNNNNNNNNNNNNNNNNNNNNNNAGGCGGAUGUACGGUACAGCAGCCCCCAACACACCAAAAAAAAAAGAAAAAAAGAAACAAAUCCCCACAAAAAUUUCCAACAAAACUCAAUGAAACGCUUCUGGGUUUCUAAUUCUUUCAGGAAUUAGUGACCCCAUUUCAUUUCUUGGUUUCGUCGAUCUUCUCUCUGUCUCUUUCAGGUGAUUAUCUUUUUAUUUUUUUGUUAAUUCUUUAUUUUUUUAAUUGAUCUUUGAUUGUUUUGGAUGAUUAUGUUGUUGUUUUGAUGUAUUUUUUCUGGGUUUCUUUUCUUUAUUUUUUAUCUUUAUUCUUUGAAGAGUUUGUGAGGGAUCGAGUUGACCGAUGUUGGUUUUUUUAUUUCAUUGGUUCUUUCUUCUUCUUCUUCUUUAAUUUUUCUUUUUGUGGAUGUACUAGUUUGAUUUGGCCAUCGUGAUUAUCAAAUCAUUUGAUGCUGAACUUCUUUUUGUGGUUAAUCAAAAUAAGUUGGUUAAAUUGGUACUUUGAUUGUCCAAGAUUGGUACUUCGAUUGUCCAAGGACUGGCUUUGGCGAUUUUUCUGAUGUUUUUUCAGACACAGUUUCAUUUUUUCUAUGUUUUGAGUUUGUUUUGUAGAUGUUUCAAUGUUCCAAAGUCUCAUGGUUGACAAUGUAGAUAUCUAAUUUUGUUCAUAAUUUCUUAUUGAUGUUUAAUAGUCCUGUUUUUCACUGUUUGAUUUGGGGUUUCAGGUAUAAUUUUUGAGCUUUAUGAAUAUAGUUCUUGCUGCCAGGCAUUUGCUAUAAGAGGCCAGGUGUUCUCUAAUUAGAUAUUUAACUUCUAUUGUUCAGUCAGCUAAAGGUAAUACUUUGUAUCAUGAGCUUUUUGUGUUGAUAACUGGUAAUUCAAUAUUCGCAAGUACAUUGUAUGCUGUUUUUAGUGAUCAUAUAUUAUUCUAUGAUAUAAUUGCAGUUUGCAAUGAAAAUGUUAUGUUCUGGAACUUUUUGGCGAAUUAAUGGCUCACUUGUUGCAAUAUCUCAGUUUUUGUACGCUGUUCUUCAGUUUCAGUGUAGUGAGAUUCCGAUCAAACUGUUUGAACUUUUGUGCUAAGUGCACACAAGUGUACCAGUCGGCGAUAGCAAUUGGUCCUAGAUGCAACAAAUGCUGUACUUGAGAAUAGAGCCCCAUUUUAAUGGUUUGGAAUAGAGCCCCAUUUUAAUAUAGGAAUAGAGUGAAAAGUACAUGUAUAGAGAGUCAGUGUGGUAAAUAAAUAAUUGUGAAUCUUUGUGAUAGAACUAGAAACAUUUGGAAUAAGAUUUGCAUGGAAAUAAUCAUCUUAUUCACUGGUUGUGGUUGAAGCUAGAUAACGUGGAAACCUUGGAACAAUGACCAUAACUGGAUAGUGCAAUUUUUGAAAUUUUCUAUUAAAUAAGUUUUAUUUAUUUUGUCUAUCUAGUUUGGUGGCCUUUUUUGUUCUUCUUCUUCAAUCAUACAGCUACUUGACAUUUCCCACAAUUUUCUGUUUUUCAGCUAUCAUUUGAAUCGACGGUCAUCCUUUCAUCCGUUGGGUGCUGUAACUUGUCCUCCCAUUUGUGUUUGAAAUUUGGAUCAUUGUUUAGCAUUGUGUUCACUCGUUCUGGUUGGAAUAUUUUCCCCGAUGCAAGGUCAAGGGAGUACCAUUGAUUCUUUCCCUGAAUCUGUUAAUAUUGAUCAGGAUUCUGUUUCCAGUAACACCAGUAUGAGUCAGCAGAUUUCUGUGGAUAGUAUUCUUCAUCCUGUCGAAAGCCGCUUGUCUAAUUACGCGGUAGCUUCUGGUGGCGCAACAUGUGUAAAUGCUGUUACUCAUGAUGUUCGGAACUUAAGUACCUGGAAUUCGGGUGAACCUAGCUGUAGAUUGAGUUUGCAGAAUCAGAAGAAUGAUGAUGAAAUGAAAAUGGAACAUGGUUGGUCUGCUUCUUGUAGUGCUCGUACUGGGGGCGGGCCUGUGUCAGAAGAAAGGCAGCGUGAAUCAACUAGUAUCCUUUUUCCUGGUAGGCAUGGUAUUGGCCACAGUGGCAAUCAGGACAGAAGUGGGCCUUCGUUUUCGCUAGGUUCAAGCUCCAGUCAUUCCCCGCAAAAUUUGGAUCUUGAUGCAGGAUAUGUGGGUAACAGUGGUUUUGGUGGACAGAGUAUGGAAGUAGGAUUAGGCCCAAAUCUCUGCAACUCUGGUGGACUAGAAAAAGAGCAGGCAUAUCUUGCCAGUGCUUCUUCUGAUAAAGUUGGGACUUCAUCUGGAAGCUCUGGUUUUAUGUUGGAAGAAAACAAUGGCGAAGCUGGUUCGCCUCUGGGUGGUUGGGGUUUAUCCUGCAAGAGGAAAGCCCUUGAAGGCACGUCUGCACCGUCUUGUUCGGCAGGAAGUUCAAGUCGCUUUCCACAAGCUGAAAGUGGUGUCUCUGCUCGUUAUGACGCGUCUAGUAGCUUAAGUUUGUCUCCACCUUUGCAAAAUUACCCUAGUGUAUGUCCUCCUGAGCAGUCAAAUCCUAGAUUUGGGGUUGCUAUGAGAAUAGUAGAAGAUGGUUUUCCUUCAGGUAUCAGUGGAAAUACAGAAAACCGCCUGAGAAGUUUUGGUAGGAGAGGGGACCCCCGACAUCAGCAGGAAUCUGUGCCAUUCAAUUUAUCAUCAAUAGGGGGUAGCGGGCACUCAAAUAUUGCUCCCCCUCAUCCACCACCAAUAUCUCUUCCCUUUAGUGAUGCUCUGGAAUUGAGAGCGGCAGCAGCAGUUGCUGCAAAUACAAAUGCAUCCCAGAACCAGGCUCACUCUGCGCCUGUUUCUUCCUUUUCAAGAAACGCGCAUCCUUUCCGUUGGGAUGGUGCUUCCAGUUCAAGAGCUGGCAAUUUAUCAAGUUCAUUUAUCUCUGGAGAGAGAGGUGCUACACUGCGAGAGGAAAGAAACACAAGAAGCAUACAAAGAAAUAAUGCUGAGCAUCCAAUGCUUGUUCCUUCAGCUGAGAUGAGAAACAUGGUGCAGGAUCCAACAAGUUGGAGUUUGGCCACUGGAAGUUCUUCUGGAGGCGUUUCCUCAACUGCUCGAAUUGGAUCAAGUUCAAGUACCCAUCCUUCACCAGCUUCUGCCUGGGUUCCUCACCACAACAUCUCAAUACACAGUCAGCAAAGAUUAUUAGAAUAUUCUCCUUGGUCUUUAUUUCCAUCUGUCGAUUCUGAUUCUGGAGUUCGUACUGGUCAUUUUCCUCCUUUGUCUUCAGGUCCUUCCUCAUCCUCACAAGAACCAGUCAUGCCAUCUAGUUCUAAUAGCCAGAUCCAUCACCAAACACAACGAAGGUCAUCAUUUCUGAUGGAGAGACAAGGUGACAAUGUUCUUGGUUUGCCCCGUUCUUUGCAGGUUUUAGCUGCUGACAUUGAAGGGAGACACCGGUUGAUAUCUGAGGUUGGUGUUAUUUAUUUUCUCUUCUUCAAAUUUAUUGUCUGUAUAUAUACUGUGUUAAGGCUUUGGGACUGGAUAGGAAAUAUUUUCUCUAUUGUGGUUUAGCUGUAACAAUUUCUUUGAAUAGUCAUAGGUUCCAUAAAGAUAGAUAUUUGUGUAGACCUUCAGAUAGCUCUCAUAUGUGUUAUGAAAUUGCAUGCAGGAAGAAAUAAUAGUAUUGAACUUAUUGAUAACUCAAAUAGCUUUUCCAUUUAAGUUUCAUACAGAUGCAACUUGGAUAUAAACUAUUUAAUGCAAUCUUGGGUUCUGCAUUUAUGGUCUUAUGCACAUCAGAUUUCUGAAUCCUCUUUUACUUUGAUCUUCUUUUAUUUCAGUAUGUGUUGACUUGAUUUUUAUGUUCAUUUUUUGUUUGGCUGUGUGUUUAGAUUCAUUUUUGGUAUUGUCAGAAGCAUCGUAACUACAUAUCAGUGAAAUAUUGCAUUGAUUGGAAGCAUAGGUUGCAAUAAGUAGAUAUAAAUUCCAAAAUAAGUAGAUAUAAUUUCUGAAAACAGAAUACUUAUUUUCUUUCUCAAUUGCUGAUUUUUUUUUUUGGGGGUUAUUGUGCGAUUUUGAUUAGAUCAAUGAAUUUUGCAUUGAUUGCAUUGGGCUAUUGUGGAAGUGUCCACUGUUUUCUUGUCUAUUAUUAACAUGGUAUAUUUAGACUAUCAAGUUCCAAUAUCAAAAUUACUUUUUGGAUUAUGCUGAUUAUUAUAAUGAUUGUUAGUUAGUAACUUUAGCAUGGUAUCAUAAGGACUAAAUGUUAAUCUUCUUUUCUGUGGCCCAGAUUCGUCAAGUCUUGAAUGCCAUGCGUCGGGGGGAGAACUUACGAGUUGAGGUUUGCAUUUGAAUUAACAUUCUUGUCGUCGUUUUAUGCUCUUCCUCCAACUCAUUAUUUUUGUGAAAUGAUGGCUUCUAUCUUGCUAAAAUUUAGUUGAGAGUCAUGUUUCUUCCAUAAUGACAUAUGGUUAUGAAAGGUCAAAGCGAUGUCUUGUGCAAGAACUCACCAUCGAUGAUGAUCAAAGAUCAAAUGGCAGUGAAACUGAUUUUUGUGGAAAUUUAAUUAAAGCUUAGUAGCUUCAGACAAUUAAAUCUAUAUUUCUAAUAGAAAAUAAAAAGGAAAAGGUGAUUAAUUUGUCUUACCCUGUAAGGAAAACAAUAGAGGUGAUGACAAUCCCUAGUGCUGAAUAUUUAAGACCUUUCAUCUCACAUGAUCAUAUUUGGGGCAUGAUCCAGGAAUCUAGUUUUUUGUUAUUAUAAAGUGGACGUUAUUCAGCUUAUCGCUGAGACUUGAAUGAUAUGUCAAAAAAGUAUUUCUCCGUGCCGUAAACAUAACUUGCAUGAAUUUUGAGUUCUGGACCCACGAAUGUGUCUGUGUAGCGAAAACAUGUGACCUGCUCUUGGUGGAUGUAUGUCAUUCUCUUCCUCGACCUUCUAUCGAGCAUGAUUUAUACUUUCCUCUUAAGUGGGGUUUUUGUUAGAUGAAGGCCAAAGAGUUAAUUUAGUAAUGCAGUAUCUACAGUAUUCUUAUUUAUGAAAUGAGUUUAUGGAUAACUUCGAUGACUUGGAGAUGAAUGUCAAACCGGGGUCUCAUCAAUUUAUGGUGCUGUGUAUUUGUCCUACCUUCAAAGGCCAAGAGCUGGCUGCUUCAAUUGUUGAACAUGCUAAAAGCUAGGUGACGUGUCCUAUUUUCGUGCCUGGAACAUGUAGAUAAAUUAAUUUUCUGAAUUUUUUUUGGAAGGAUCCUUAAGGUUAAAUUUAAAAUAAAAAAUUGUAAUUUAGCAUCUGGCACCCCUAGAAGAAAGGAAAAAUUUACAGAUCUGGCUUUUCUGCCUUUCUACUAUCACAUGAUUUGACUAAGCUGCUAGCAGAUACUCAUUGCAAACUUGAGGGCAUAUGAGAUGCUCUAAAGAUCUUGGCUUUCACCAUAUUUUCUGCUUUUGUAUAGCAAAUGACCAUUAUUUAUCUUUCAGGAUUAUAUGCUUUUUGAGCCGUUCAUAUAUCAUGGGCUGGCAGAAAUGCAUGACAGGCAUAGAGACAUGCGCCUGGAUGUUGAUAACAUGUCUUAUGAGGUAAGAUAGGAAGUUAUGUCCCUGUUAGUUUUUUUUUUUUUUUAAUNNNNNNNNNNNNNNNNNNNNNNNNNNNNNNNNNNNNNNNNNNNNNNNNNNNNNNNNNNNNNNNNNNNNNNNNNNNNNNNNNNNNNNNNNNNNNNNNNNNNNNNNNNNNNNNNNNNNNNNNNNNNNNNNNNNNNNNNNNNNNNNNNNNNNNNNNNNNNNNNNNNNNNNNNNNNNNNNNNNNNNNNNNNNNNNNNNNNNNNNNNNNNNNNNNNNNNNNNNNNNNNNNNNNNNNNNNNNNNNNNNNNNNNNNNNNNNNNNNNNNNNNNNNNNNNNNNNNNNNNNNNNNNNNNNNNNNNNNNNNNNNNNNNNNNNNNNNNNNNNNNNNNNNNNNNNNNNNNNNNNNNNNNNNNNNNNNNNNNNNNNNNNNNNNNNNNNNNNNNNUUAUUUCUCAUUGAAGGCUGUCGGCUUACAUAAGACGUUGGAAUGUUAGGAAUUGUUGGCGCUUGAAGAACGCAUAGGAGAUGUGAGCACUGGACUGAAUGAGGAAACCAUUAUGAAGAUAAUGAAACAGAAAAGGUACCCAUCCUUGGAAAUAGAAAUCCCAUCUGACGAGGAGCCUUGCUGUAUUUGCCAGGUACGUGUUAGAGAAAAGAAAAGCAAAUAUUUCUUGUCUUUAGAUGAUGUAAACUCACCUGACUAAUUGGUACUAACUUUGUCUAUCUUGCUCGUGCUUUCUUACGGCAGGAGGAAUAUACUGAUGGAGAUAAUCUUGGGAUCCUGGACUGCGGACAUGACUUCCAUACGAACUGCAUCAAACAGUGGCUAAUGCAGAAAAACUUAUGUCCCAUUUGUAAGACAACAGGGCUUCCCACAUGAGAGGGAAGAUCAUCAUUCUUGGAGCGAGGAGUUCAAAUUCAUGCCUAUUGAAUAUUAAAUCAGAUAGUCAGGUGGAUGAUAUCAUAUUUCUACCUUUCAUUACGAUCCUGCUGUACCGUACAUCCGCCUUGGCCGUACAGCAGCCCCCUUUCUCUCUUUAUGUUUUUUCUUGUUCAUGAACUGCAUUAGUUUAUGAAGUGGAGCGGCCAAGCAACCGAUAAAGUGUCAUGAAAUUACAGCAUGUGUGGGAAAAAGGGUAUGCUUAAAGCAUUAUGACAGUUAAAAAUUUGAAAAUAAUAUUAAUGACAUUUUCAAGCUCCUAGAAUGUUGAAGCAUUUCAGUUAAAACUUCAAUUUUUGCUAUUUCUUUUGGCUUGUUUUUGUUAUCCCCUUUGUCCCGGCGGCGACAGGAGUGUUUUUGUCCAAUUAUAUUUCGCAAUGUGAUAUGUCAGGAAUUGUAUUGAGUCAUUGUAUUUUCAGUUUAGUUGUUGAUUUGAUAGGUCAUUUGCUUGCUUAAUUUAUUCACCUAUUCUCCGGUUACAAGUGAAUUAAAAAUGAAAGAUUGUUGGGAAUUUCAACCUUUUACCAUCAUGUUUCUUAUCUUGUAAGAAUAGUAAUGCAUUCUUGUUCAAAUUCAGUGAAUUAAGUGAAUUUGAAUUUUUUUUUUUACAAGUUAUAUUGGAUGAAAACAUCACAAAAUUCGCGUAUCAUUUUUGUUAUUUUAUUGAUCUUGUAAGUCGAACAAAACGUGCAUCUUCUUCUUUACACUCUAAAUGGUUAAUUGGGCCCAACGGGCUAAGCACAUCUCGCUUGUGGGCUGAACAUCAUAAAAUGUCGGCCCCAUUAAUGUGAAAGACCAAGCGUGCUGCUAGUCAAAAACAUCCUUGAAUAAACACUACUCCGAACGGGUUGGUUUCGGAAAUUGACUAGAAUUGAAAGGGUAAUGAUUUUAUACAAAUUUAUUUUAUAUAAAUUGAUGUAAUAUGAUAAAAUUAAUUAAAUUAAAUAUCUAUUGGUUUACAUGAUUUAUUUUUAUUAUUUUGUAUUUUUAUUCAACCAAUGAAUUGAUGGCACAUCAGUUUGUACAAAAUAAGUUUACAUAAGAGUUUGUGGCUGUAUCAUUACUCUUAAAUGGUUUAGAAUCAAAUUGGAAAUGAAAAUUAGAAUAAAUUAUUUAUUGUAACUGUAUGAAUCAUAUUCUAAAUUAAUUGCAUUACUAUUGACGACGUGUUUAUUUUAUUUUAGAAUCGAAAUAAAUUAUUAUAAGUUACUAAAAUGACCUUAAUUAAUUAUUGUCGUCAUUUAUUAUAAUAAUUUUGAUUAUUAUUAUUAUUCAAAAUAAUUAUUAACAACAACAACUAUUAUUAUUAUUAUUAUUAUUAUUAUUAUUAUUAUUAUUAUUAACAACAAUAACAAUUAAAAAGUAAGAAUAAUAAUAAUAACAAUAAAAAUAAUAUAAUAAUAUUUUAAUUGAGAACAAAGAAUGGAAUGAUAAAACUUAUUUAGGAUAAAAUGGAGAGUUCGGGAAAUGAAAACUUGAUUCCCUACCCUUUUCAUGGGAAUUAAGUUCUUAUUCCUUAAUUUCAUAAAUAUGUGGCCCAACAUAUUUUAUUUUCAUUCUUACUUCUAUUUUAGUAAAUAAACACUAUUGAGAUUAUUCUUAUUCUAUAUUCUGAUUCCUUAAUAUAAGAAGUAAACCACCACCAAUUAAUUUUAAUUGCUCAUUUACAAUUUUUUGACAUUUUCUUUGAAAAAUGAAAAUAAAAAAAACUAAUUGUAUUUUUUAAAAAAUUUAAGUAAUGUUUCAUAAAAUAAUAUCAAACAAUUAUUUUAAAAUAUUCUUCUUUUUUAAAAAUUUAAAAUUUAAAUUAUUGGGAAAUAAUAAAAACAAAUUUUAGAAAGUUUACUUUAUACCAAAAAUUAUUCCUAUGUAAGAGAUGGACUGUGACUGCGAUUAUGGUAUACAGACAAAAAGUGAAAAAAUGAAUUUUCUUUAUGUAUCAAAGUGAAAAUAUACGUAGUGUUUAAAGAAAGAGAACAAUUACUUUCCUCAUCUUACCUGUUUGAACAGAUUAUAAUUAUUAAUUAUGUUUAUUGGUAUUUUUAUAAAAUAAAAUAAAAUUACUUAAAUGGUAAUGUUAAAUCUAAAUGAAAAUGAAAAAUAAAAUUAACAUUAUUGACGAAUAAACUCUCUCUCUUAAUAUUAAAUUUCUUCAGUCUUCUCCCAUGUCAUCCAUGGCUCAGGUGCUUGUCCGCUUUCCAUUUCUAUUAUCACAUGUUUCCUCUAUUUCUCUGCUAAAAAGACAAUGAAAAAUAAAAAAGUAACUGAAAGAGAGAGAGAGAAGGCCAAGUCAAAUUUUAUUUUAACAAAAUAUCCCGCAAAAAUCCAACCAAAAAAAAAAAAUCAAUGAAAACGCUUCUGGGUUUUUCUGAUUCUUUCAACUACUAGCUAGUGUUUGUGUUCAUAUCACUUACUUUAACCCCAUUUCAUUUCUUGGUUUCACCGAUCAUCUCUUUCUCUGUCAGGUAAUUUUUCUUCUUUUUUUUUUUUUAAUGUCUUCUAUUGAUUAUUUUUAUUUUUUUAUAUGAUCAUGUUACUGCAUGGAUUUUUUUUUAAUUUUAUUUUAGUUUUUGUGCAUUUUUGUGAGGAAUCGUGUUGACCCAGGUUGCUUUUUCGAAUUUCAUCGGUUUUUCAUUUUAAAUUUCGUAUUUUUAUGUAAUGUUUUGAUUUCAACAACGUCUAUAUCAAUUUAUUUGAUACAUAACUUAUUGGAGUGUUUUUUUUUUUAAAUACAUUUGGAGUGUUUUUUUUUUUUUCCCAACAACAUGGUGAAUUUGUCCCUUUUCAUUUUGGGUACUUUGACUCUUUUGGCAAUUUCUUUUUCUAUGAGGUUUUAAUUUCUCAUUGUUUUGAGUUUGUUCUGUGGAUGUUUCAAUGUGCAAAAGUUUCACGCUUGACAAUGUAAGUGUUUAAUUUAGCUCAUAUUGAUGUUUAUAUUUUGGGGUUUCAGGUCAAUUUAAUGGACAUUACAAUAUAUUCUUGCUGCUAGGCAUUUGUUAUUGCAGGUUUUUUUUUUUUUUUUAAUUUUGAUGUUUAGCUUAUAUACUUCUGUCUGUUGAAAAUAAUUUUUGGCAUAAUGAGCUUCGUACGGUUGCAAUUUGAUAUUGGCAUGUAUAUUAUUAUAGUGGCAGCUUGCAAAUUGUGUUGAAAAAAACAAUCUAGACUUAAAUUGAAGUGGUGGUGGAGUCAUAAAAAUGUUGUGUUAUGGAAUUUGUUGGUGAGUUCAUAGCUCAGUCAUGUUAAUAUCUCAUUUAUAUGCUGCUCUUUAGUUUUAAUGUAGCUAGAUUUUGAUCAAAUUGUUUGAAAUUUUAUGCCAAGUGCACACAAAAUGUUAGCCAAAAUGGUCAUAAUAGUUGGUCUUUGAUGUGAAGGAUAUUGAGGGUUUGUAAAUGAAGGAUUUGUAAUAGAUCCCACUUUGAGUGAAGAAUAGAAUGCAAAUUAUAUGCAUAGAAAGUUCUCUGUAGAAAGCUGGUCUUCCUGAUGGUGCAGCCAAGAUUAUGUGAAUAGUUAUGAACUUUUGUGAUAGAAUUAGAAAUGUUUGGAACAAAUAUUGCGUGGAAUAAAAUUUUGCAUACUUUUAUCCCAUUUGAAGCUAGAUAUCAUGGGAGUGUUGCAACCAUGAUGAUGAGGGGAGACAGCAUGUUGCAAUUCUGAAUUAGUUUUAUUUUAUUUUUUUUACUGGUUUAGUCCUUUUUAUUAUUUAAUUAUUUAGCAAUUUGACAUUGCUCACAUAUUUUCGGUUUUCCAGCUAUCAAAGAGUCGAUGAUCAUCCUUUCUUCUGUUGGUUGCACGAAAAUUCCCCUGGCAUUCAUGUCUGAAAUUUGGAUCACUGUUUAACAUUGUGUACACUUGUUCUGGUUGGCCCUCAUGCAAGGUCAAGGGGUCACCAGUGAUUCCUUCCCUGAAUCUGUUAAUAUUGAUCAGGGACUGUCCAAUAAUACUAGUAUGAAUUAGCAGAUUUCUUGGCAUAGCUUGCUGCAUCCUAUGGAAAGCCGUAUAUCAGAUUAUGCAGUAGCUUCUGGUGGUGCAGCAUGUGUAAAUGCUGUUACCCAUGAUGUUCGGAGCUUGAGCGGCUGGAAUACGGGUGAACCUAGCUCCAGAUUGAGUUCACAGAAUCAAAUGAAUGACGAUGUUCUGGAAAUGGAACAAGGUUGGACUACCUCCUAUGGUGAUCAUACUGGGGGUGGUCCAAUGUUAGAAGAAAGGAAAUUAGAACCAACUAGUGCCCUUUUUCCUGGAAGGCGUAAUUUUGGCCACAGCGGGGAUCGGGACAGAAGUGGGCCUUCUCUUUUGCUAGGCUCUAGCUCUAGUCAUGCUCCACAAAGUUUGAAUCUAAAUGCAGGAUAUAUGGGUAACAGUGGUAGUGUUGGCUCUUUAUCUGGAAACUCUGGUUUUAUGGUGGAGGAGAACAAUGAUGACGCAAGUUUGACUCUUGGUGGGUGGGGUUUAUCCUGCAAGAGGAAGGCUCUUGAAGGUACGUCUGGGCAGUAUUGUUCUGCAGGAAGUUCAAGUUGCUUUCAACAAGGUGAAAAUCAUGCAUCUGCUUGUUAUGACACAUCUAGCAGCUUAAGUUUGUCUCCACCUUUGCGAAACUCCCUUGGAUUUGGUAUGAGAGCAGUAGAAGAUUGUUUUCCUUCUUCAGGUAGCAUUGGAAAUACAGAGCACUGCCCAAGAAGUUUUGGUAGGAUAGGGGUUCCCGGACAUCAGCAGGAAUCUGUACCAUUCCAUUUGUCAUCAAGAGGGACUAGCGGGUACUCGAAUAAUGCUGCCCCUCAUUCGUCACAAAUACCUCUUCCCUUUAGUAAUUCUCUGGAAUUGAGAUCGACAGGUGCAAAUACAAAUGCAGCCCAGAACCUGCCUCAAGAUGUGCAUGUUUCUGCUUUUACAAGAAAUGUGCAUCGUUUCCCUUGGAGUGGUGCCUCCAGUCCAAGAGCUAACAAUUUAUCAAGUUCUUUUACAUCUGGAGAGAGAGAUGCUGCAUUGCAAGAGGAAGGAAACACAAGCAGCAUCCCAAGAAACAAUGUAGAGCAGCAUCCCAUGUUUGUUCGUUCAGUUGAGAUGAGAAACAUGGCGCAAGAUCCAACAAGUUGGGGUUUGGCCACUGGAAGCUCUUCUGGAGGCAUUUAUUUGACCGCUCAAGUCGGUUCCAAUUCAAGCAGUCACCCAUCACCCCCUCCUGCCACGAGUCCUCACCACAACUACUCAACUCAUAGUCAGCAAAGAUUAUCAGAAUUUUCUUGGUCUUUAUUUCCAUCUGCCCCUCAAAAUCCGAAUCUAAAUGCAGGAUAUGCGGGCAACAAUGGAAGUGGUGGACAGGGUAUGGGCACAGGUUUAGGCCAAAAUCCAUGUAACUCAAGUGGACUGGAAACAGAGCAGGAAUCUCUUGCAAGUGCUGCUUCUGAUAACGUGGGGACAUCAUCUAGAAGCUCUGGUUUUAUGGUGGAGGAAAACAAUGGUGACGCAGGUUCAUCCCUGGGUGGUUGGGGUUUAUCCUGCAAGAGGAAGGCCCUUGAAGGUACGUCUGCACAGUCUUGUUCAGCAGGAAGUUCAAGUUGUUUUCCACUAGCGGAAAAUGGUGUCUCUGCUCGUAAUGACCCGUCUAGCAGCUUAAGUCUGUCUCUGCCUUUGCGAGAUUCCCCUACUGCUUGUCCUCUUGAGCAGUCAAAUCCUAGAUUUGGGGUUGGUAUGAGAAUAGUAGAAGACGGUUUUCCUCCUCCUGGGAUCACUGGAAAUUCUGAAAACUGCCUGAGAAGUUUUGGUAGGAGGGGGAAUCCAAGACAUCGGCAGGAAUCUGUACCAUUCAGUUUAUUAUCAAGGGGGAGUAGCAGGCAUUCAAAUAUUGCUUCCCCUCAUUCGCCAGCAAUACCUCUUCCCUAUAGUGCUUCUUUGGGAUUUAGAUCGGCAGCAGCACAAGAUGCAAAUAUAAAUGCACCCCAGAUCCAGCCUCAUCCUGUGCACGUUUCUUCUUUUUCACGCAACAUGCAUCAUUUUCCUUGGAGAGGUGCUUCCAGUUCAAGAGCUGGCAGUUUAUCAAUUUCUUCUACGUCUGGAGAGAGAGGUGCUACAUUGCGAGAGGAAGGAAAUGCAAGAAGCAUCCCAAGAAACAAUGCAGAGCAUCCUAUGUAUGUUUCUUCAGCUGGCAUGAGAAACAUGGUUCAAGAUCCAGCAAAUUGGGGUUUGGUCACUAGAAGCUCUUCUGGGGAUGUUUCUUCCGCUCGAAUUGGAUCCAGUUCUAGCAUUCAUCCUUUGCCUGGUCCUGCCUGGAUUCCUCACCCAAUCCCCUCAACACAUAGUCACCGCCUGAUGUCUGAGGUUUGUGUUUUAAUUAUUUUUUCUCUUUGUCAAUUUAUUGUUUCUAUACAUUUGCUAUUUUCCACUUUUGUUACUGGAGGUGGAAUUUUCUCUAUCAUUGUGGCAGAGCUGUGUGUUUCUGGAUUAAUGUGCUUUGAUUUCUUGCUUGCUAUUACUCAGUAUAUAUAUAUAUGUUAUUUUUAUAGUCAUUUUGGUGUUGUAUAUCUGAUUUGAGUUUAGCCUCAUGUAUAGAAUGUAGUUCUCAUGUCACCAUUGAGUAGUUGACCUUCCUGUCAUCAAUUUCCUUAUUUUAGUGAACAAUCUUUUUAGUUUAUUUUGUGGGAGCUUAAUGUGUAUUAGGGUAAGUAUACUGUUAUAUGAAGCACUUUAUGCAGGUGAAAAUAUUCACUCUGAUACUUGACUCAAUUGGUAUAUUUUUGGUCGCAAAAACAUUUUAAACUCUCUGUUGUAGGGCUUAGUAAAAUAUAUUCUUGGAUAUAAUUUAGGGAUAUACUGAGCAAUCUCUUCUAGGGUGCAGUGAAACAUAUUAUUGGACUUCCUUAAGCAAUGUACUGAUUCAAAGCUAUUUUAAGAAAAAUUUCUAAUAACAUUGAAAGCACAUACAUAAGUUCAUUUAAGAAGCUGUAAGAAAGAGAUAAUUUCUUAUAUUCAAUGUCAUAUCUAAUACAAAUUUCCAUAUACAAUAUUAUCUUCUGGAAGCCUCUUAAAUGCUCCUAUAUUAAAAACCUCAGAAGGAAGUCUUUUAAUCGCUUGUGCAUGAAAAAUGCCUCAACUUCACGCUUACCUAGAUUUGUCGGCAAUUAAAAUAUUGGUUAAUCAUUUUUUCCUAUUACUCUUAACAAUUAGGUUAUGCUAUUGUUGACUAAAAGAAAAUGAGUUGUGAUAUUCAUGUCUGUGAGAGAUACUAUAAAUCCAGGCCUAGAUGUUUCCCAAAUGAAGUUAGAUUUGCAUUUUUGAAUUGAAGAUAGGAUAACUUUUGAAGAUUAAGAAUAUAUGACCUAGAUAUGGGCUUCACAUCAAUGAAAAAACCUUUUGAAAGGAUGAGGUAAAUUUGAGUGCUUGAUAUUGCCAUUGAAAUGAACAGGUAGCAUGAACUUUAUGUUUUGAAUGGAAGUCGUAUUUUAAAAUUUAGCAGUAGUUAUGAAAUUGAUUAAUUAGCAUUCUUAUUGAGACUAGAACUCAUAGGGAAGAAAAUUAGAUUUAUGGAAUCAUGAUAUGCCGUAUCUAUGAACAGGAGUAUUUGGUUAUUGGGGAAAAUAUAUAUACUUCUAAUUUCAAACCAGGUUCAACUCAUAUAGAAGCAAAUCAUUGAGUCGAAUUCUUCAUUAGUGUCAAGGUAAUAGCUUUCUGAAUAUUCAUCAAGUAGUAGAAGAAUGGGACCUAUUACAGCACAUAAAUUCCAUAAAAAUAUAUUGUUUAUGGAUACCUGCGGAUAGUUCAUGCAUGAUAAAUAGCGUCUCAGUUAUAAAAUUACAUGCAGGAAGAAAUAGUAUUGGAUAUAUUGAGAACUCAAGUAGCUUUUUAUUUAAGUUUCCUGCUGAUGCAACUUGGGUUAUAAAUUCUUCAAUACAUUAUGAAUUUGAGUUUUACACCUGAGGCUUAUGCAGAGCGGAUUUUAACAUGAAACAUCUUUACUUUGAUCUCUCCCCUGUUUGGUAUGUGUUAGUUUGAUUUUGAUUUUCAACUUUUGUUUGCCAUGCAUUUUAGGUUCAACUUUUGUAUUUUAGAGGCAUUAUGACUACAUAUCAGUGAUAUAUUAAGUUGAUUGGAAGUAGAAGUUGCAAUGAAUAUAAAUUCCAUUGAUUAAAGAAUUUAUUGAUUUUGAAAAUUGAAUAUUUCUUUUCUUUCCCGAUUUCUGAGUUUUGUUUUGGUUAUUGUGCUAUAAUGAUUUUAUUUCCUAAAACGGAAAAGUUGCGUUUGACUAGGGGCAUUGAAGAAAAGUCCACAUUAUGCUUGUUUAUUAUUGUUCAUGGCAUUUUAUACUGUCUAGUUACUGUAUCUAUUAUACUCUUUAUGUUAUGUUGGUUGCUAUUAUGAUCAUUAGCUAGUAAUGUUAGCAAGGAAUCAUGAGGACUGAAUUUUAUCUUCUUCUCUGUGGUUCAGAUUCGUCAAGUUUUGACCGCCAUGCGUCGAGGGGAGAACUUACGAAUUGAGGUUUGCAUUUGAAUUUUAUUGAAAUAUGCUUUACAUUCUUGUCAUUUUAUCAUGUUGCGAUGUGAUCUUGUUACUUUCAAUGAUGACUGCUAACUGGCUAAAGUUUGAUUGAGGGUAAUAAGAACUCACCACCUAAUUAGUUUCCUUUUUCACUCUACAUGCUGUUAAAUAGCCAUAGUAAUGGCUGUAACCCUCAGAUUCUAUGGAGUUUUUUCUUUGUAAAUCUUAGUCAUUUCAGGGCGUUGGGACUGUAUCUUAUAGAAAAUAAAAACGAAAUAAUGAUUAAUUUGUUGCUCAUCAAGGAAAACAAUAGAGUAGCCAACUCUUCUCCUAUGGAUAUAACAAAAAUUCAAACCAGGAAAAAUACAUUGUAUGAUCCUGCACCCUAGAUGGAAAGAAAAAACUAGCUUUUUUACUUUUCCAAAUGCAUUGUAAAUGAUUCUCCAUCACUUGGUUUCAUGGAACUAAGGUGCAAGCAGAUACCCCUAGUGAACUUCUACAGAAGAUCUUGGCUUUCUAACCAUGUAUACUUCUUUUUUUCAUAAUUACUUUUUAUAGCAUUUGAUCUUUAUUUAUCUUUUAGGAUUUUAUGCUUUUUGAGCCAUUCGUAUAUCAUGGUCUGGCCGAAAUGCAUGACAGGCACAGAGACAUGCGCCUUGAUGUUGAUAACAUGUCCUAUGAGGUAAGAAAAGCAGUUGUGUCCCUGUUAGUCAUUUUCACUUUGAAGGUUUUCUGCUUAUGUAAACUUUUGGACUGUUAGGAAUUGUUGGCACUUGAAGAACGUAUAGGAGAUGUGAGUACUGGAUUGAGCGAGGAAACCAUUAUGAAGAUAAUGAAACGGGAAAAAUACAUGUCCACUGAAACAGAAUCCCCAACAGACUUGGAGCCUUGCUGUAUUUGUCAGGUAUGAGCUAGAGAAAAGGAAAAGCAUACAUAGCAGCUUUAGGUAGCUAAAAUUCAUCUGACAUAUUGAUAUUAACAUCAUCUAUCUUGCUUAAUACCUUGUUGCGGCAGGAGGAAUACACCGAUGGGGAUGAUCUUGGGGUGCUGGACUGUGGACACAACUUCCAUACAGACUGCAUUAAACUGUGGUUAAUGCGGAAAAACCUGUGUCCCAUUUGUAAGACGACAGCCCUUCCUACAUGAGAGGGAAGACCAUCAUUUUUGGAGCGAGGAGUUCAAUUUGAUAUCAUUUUCAAUACUCUUUUUUAUUUUUUUUCACCCUCAUUUGGGUCAAAAACCAGUUUUUUUUUUUUUUUUUUCUUGCUUAUGUACUGGCAUUAGUUUAAGAAAUGCUGCUGCUAAGCAGCCGUGGCAUGAGUCAGGAGAUGAGUGCCUUUAAGCUUUGUGACAAAUCAUAAAUUUGAAAUUAUAUAAAGCUCUUGGAAUGAUAAAGAGUUUUUUAGUAUUUUAUUUUUUAUUUCAUCUGAAAACUUGAACAGUUAGCUAGAUUUUUUUUAGAAGCUGUGGUGGCCUUUGUUUAUAAAGUUGAAAGCAGAAGCCCGCGGUUUCGGUAGGGAGAGUUUCAUUUGAAAUAAAUAAUUAUUAUUCUGCUGAUGAAAUAACUGCCACAGAAUGGCUUGUGCUGUUGGAUAUGAUAUGAUGACGAAUCCACGUUUUUCUUUAUUUUCAUCAAAAGCACUUCCAAAUACAAGCUGCUUUUCUCUUGAAUUAGAAAUGAUAAACUUUAAUAAUUAAUUAUCACUUAACUAAUGAAAUUGUGAAAUGUAAUUUGUCAUAUUAAUUGAAAUAUAAACUAAUUAUCCUAACUAAGCGAGCAUGAUAUUAUUGUUUAUAAAAAAUUUAAUAGAAAAUAAAAGUGUAACAUCUAAAUAAUCAUUUUGAGAACAUAACUAAAGAGAUACAAGAGUUAAGAGAAAGUUUAGCUGUUUGUGUGCAUGUGAAUGUAGUGGUCCAUUUAAACACACUCAAGUAAUUAAUCAAUAAUUUCGCUAAGAGAAAAUGAAUUAAUAGAAUUUUAUUGUUUGAAUUAGAAAUGAUAAACUUUAAUAAUUAAUUAUCACUUAACUAAUGAAAUUGUGAAAUGUAAUUUGUCAUAUUAAUUGAAAUAUAAACUAAUUAUCCUAACUAAGCGAGCAUGAUAUUAUUGUUUAUAAAAAAUUUAAUAGAAAAUAAAAGUGUAACAUCUAAAUAAUCAUUUUGAGAACAUAACUAAAGAGAUACAAGAGUUAAGAGAAAGUUUAGCUGUUUGUGUGCAUGUGAAUGUAGUGGUCCAUUUAAACACACUCAAGUAAUUAAUCAAUAAUUUCGCUAAGAGAAAAUGAAUUAAUAGAAUUUUAUUGUUUGAAUUAGAAAUGAUAAACUUUAAUAAUUAAUUAUCACUUAACUAAUGAAAUUGUGAAAUGUAAUUUGUCAUAUUAAUUGAAAUAUAAACUAAUUAUCCUAACUAAGCGAGCAUGAUAUUAUUGUUUAUAAAAAAUUUAAUAGAAAAUAAAAGUGUAACAUCUAAAUAAUCAUUUUGGAGAGCAUAACUAAAGAGAUACGGGAGUUGAGAGAAAGUUUAGUUGGUCGUCUACGUAUAGAUACAGUGUCCAUUGAAACAUACCCAAGUUAUUAAUCAAUAAUUUUCGCUAGGAGAAAAUGAAUCUCAUCAGCUUUUAAAUCCAAGAAUAAAUGUAUCUUCUGUUGUUGCUUGACAAAUGCUUAAAUAGUAGUGGUAGUGUUAUUGAGCUUAACAUAUUGAUAUACUCGGAUUUACUUACCUUAUUUAAGGAAGUGCAUUAUUCAGCCAAAAUUGUCCGUAUUGACCCUAAAAACAAAAAAAAAUUAUACUUAUAUAGUCCCAAUAUGUAAUUAAUAUAUACAUUUAAUUAUUCUUUAGUAACGGCAUCCUCACUUUGUUAUUGAUAUUGAUAUUGAUAUUGAAACAAUAUUACAGAAGUUUCUCGUCCAAAUUAGGGCAUGAUGGCAUUGGAGUUUCUAGUAAUUUCAAGCGAACAUGGUUUCAAAAAUAAUUUUGGUAGGCAAAACUGACAAGGUGGGGUCUAUCAUUCAUAUGAUAUAUUUUGUUAGCUACAGGGUCUUAAGCUAGCUAGCUAGCCAGCUUAUAUAUAGACAUACGUUUUUGUUUUCAUGUAUAGUAACGGCAUUGCCUUAUGAUUGUAUUUUGUGCUCUUCUUACACUUUGCCACCUUUUUUAAAACGCCUCCUUCCCCUCCCUUUCUUGUAUCACCAACUCUCUCUUCUCUUCUCUUUGUUCAACUUGCUCUAUAUCUAUUUAUCUAUCUAUCUAUCUAUCUAUUUGUUGAUACGAUGCCGGAGGACGAAGGAGGAGGAGGAGGAGGAGAGGGAGGAUUAUUACAUGAGGGUUUCUUUAUGGAAAAUCCAGCAUGGGCUCCGCUGGUUUCUGAUACAACUCUGGCGCCACCUCAGCCAUCGAGUUCUAAAAGCCCGAAGCUGAAUAAGAAACAAGAGACAUCACAAGGAAGUAGUAAGAAGCGAGCCCGUGGAGAAGGAGGAGGAGAAGUUGGCAAAGAUGGCAAUUUGUUAAAGGUAAGCGAUGACAAGAAGGCGGUGAAAGUGAAAGAAGGUGAAUCAGAGCAUGAGAUACAUAUAUGGACAGAAAGAGAAAGGAGGAAGAAGAUGAGAAACAUGUUUGCUAAUCUUCAUUCCUUGCUUCCUCAGCUUCCUCCUAAGGUAUACAUAUUGUAUCAAUGAUUAGCAUACGUGUAUAUAUAAGCUUCUUAUUACAUGGGGUUUUGUUGAUUUUUUUUUUUUUCUUCUUAUUACAUGGGGUUUUGUUGAUUAGCAUACGUGUAUAUAUAAGCUUCUUAUUACAUGGGGUUUUGUUGAUUUUUUUUUUUUUUUUGGGGGGGCCAUACAUUCAUGAGUGGUCUUUGGAGAAAAGAGGCAUAUCAUAUGUCAAUAUUUCUAUCUAAGCUUUUUCUCCUGUCUGCUUCUUGGGCAGUUAGUGAGAAAUUCGGAUUUUUAGACAUGCCCAUGUAUUUUUGUUUAUCAAAUUGCCAUUUUUGGCUCUGUCCUUUCACAUUUGUUCAUAAUUCUUUCUCCCCCUUUUCAUUUCUGAGUACUUUACGACAGUAGGGGGAAAUUAUAAUUAGGUUCCAACUUAAUGUCCUCCAAUAAAUUGAUCCCAUGAAAACUAUGAUAAUAUUUAACAGGAAUUUAAUGUUUAAAUAAGCAAAAUAUGAACUUCUAAUUUUUUAUCCAUCAAACAUUCGAAUAUAUAUGAUGACUGAUGAGUAUGUUUUUCCCUUCUAUUCUUUUUUAAAGUGUAGAAAUUAGUAGCUAGGAUGCAUAAGAUUUGAUCCUUAAAUAAAUUAUUAUCAACAUUUUUUUUAAAAUUUUUUUACCCAUAAACAAUAUCAUCAUUCAUCAGUUCUCCCUUGCUUUUGAUUAAUAUAUGAUAUCAUACGUAAACCCUAUUUCUAAUGAGAUUGAAAGUCAUGAAGUCCUUCUGUUCCGUUUUCUUUUCCUUUUUCUUGAAAUAAUGUUAAUUAAUACCUUAAAAUCAACGCUUGAUAAGUAUAAUAUGUAUCCAAACGACGUUAAUGUUUUUUUAAGAUUAAAUAGUCAUUCAUGGUAAGUUUGAAUUCAUUAUUCUUUUCCAAAUCAGAAAUAUUUUAUAACAGAAUAACAAACAUAAUUGAUGCGUCGACAAAUUUUUGUUUUAUUCAGUACAAAUAAUAAAUGUAAUAUACCAGCUUAAUAAUAUAGUUAAUUGUAGGACAUACAGUUUCUCCUUAAAUAUCGUAUAUAUUUUACUUAGUUCUAUAUUGAAUUUUGUACAGGCUGACAAGUCCUCCAUUGUUGAUGAAGCAGUGAGCUACAUCAAAACCCUACAGCAGACUCUCCGAAAGCUACAGAAGCAAAAGCUAGAAAGGCUCCAAGGUGUUGCAAGUUUUGGCUUCGAGGCGUCUGCUGCAAUCACCCCACAAAAUAAGCUAGCAAUUGUAGCUCACGAUCAUCAACAAGGAUCUUCUAGUAACCUGCUGGGUGCCAAUAGUACUGAUGCAACUAAUAACUCUUCAAAUUUGCUUUCGGUGUCGCCUACUUAUCCUGUAAUCUUCCAAACGUGGACUUCAUCUAAUGUUGUUUUGAACAUUUGUGGAGAUGAAGCACAUAUAAGCAUAUGCUCUCCAAAGAAGCCUGGGAUGUUUAGCACCAUUUGCUAUGUGUUGGAGAAGCAUAAGAUAGAGGUGAUAUCUGCUCAAGUUUCUUCGGAUUUAACUCGAAGAAUGUACAUGAUUCAAGUACAUGUAAGUGUUAUAAAAUUCUCUUUAAAAAUUAUUAUUGUAUUAAUUUUUAUUUAGAGAAGAAUGUUGCAAGCUGGCUCCGUAGUUUGAAGUCUUUCAUGAAUCGCGAUGCUUCAAAGCUGGAUGGCCAUUUAGCUAGGAUUAGAUCUUAUGAAGUUCUUUUGCUGAAUGUAAAUGGGAAAGCAUAUUGAAAAACCUAACUUGAAAUAGGAAUUCUAUUUAUUAUUAGAAAUACAUCGAUAGCUAGGAAUAUACUGGGAGAUUAUGGCUUUAGGGUUUCUAAUAACACUCAUUUGGCAGUGUUCAUAUAGUAAUUUUUAAUUUUCUUGCUUCACUGAUUAUAUUUGCAUGAAGCUCAGAGCUUAGAAAAAAAGGUUACAAUACUGAUGCCGUAAUUUCUAUACGUGAAAGUCAUAGACAUAGAAGCCUCGUCAAAUUUUAGAAAUUGUACUAGAUAGUUACACUGAUACUAUGACUCCCAUACGAGAAAAUUUUAAUUAGAUUAGGUUCCAUCACGUUUCAGAAAACUUGUGUCUUGAAUUAAUUCUAUGUAUCAUGCAAGCAGGUGAAUGGAGCUUCGGAUCAGUUCUCAGAAGCACUUCCAGUUGAAGAAAUGUAUAAACAAGCUGCAAGUGAGCUUAUGUUCUGGAUCUCCUCUUGCAUUACUCCGGCCGGAAAUCAACCAGAGCAAACAUGUGUUUUUAGAUCAUGAGUUCGAAGUUUUCCCACCAAGAGGAGAGCCAUUAUAAUGGAUAGAUCCGCCGUAUACUGCAUCAAGUUUAUCAAGAUAUAUACUUGUUGCUACUAGCUAGCUAGCUAGGAACCCUGUAAGCUUGCCUUGAUCAUCAUCAUCAUCAUCAUCAUCAUAUCUUUGCUUACAACUUGAAAUAUACUCUCUAAAGCUCCAUUUGAUAUUAAGGUGCCCAAGUUUGUUAAACCAUAAAUAUAAAUUUGUAUUUUGGUUUGUCUCAAUUUUGGAAUGUUACAAGUGGAAAUUUCAAUGUACAUUAUUUCUAAUCCCAAUAAUUAGAUCCCUCUCUCUCUCUUCUCCCCAUAUAAGAGUACAUAUAUUAAUGUGAAUUUAUGUAAUGGAAAAUAUAAUUUUUGGUUUAAUGUUUUGUGGUUUUCCUGACCUCAUCAGCGGGCAUUAAUAAAAAGUUUUGUUAAUGCAAAAAAAAAAAAAAGUUGUCAACGCUUGUCUCUGUACGGCUCUGCCUCUGCUUAUAUGAAAGUGUAGCUUCGAUCAAAGUAAGAAGAACCUAAAAUGUAUUUGUAUAUAGUGCAAAAAUUUUGUAUAUCAUACUAGAUGAUGAACAAGCAAUAUUUUAUCUUCAAUGAAGCUAGUUUUCUCAUUUGUGGUGGCUGUUUAGAGAAUUACAAGCGAAAAAGGAACUCUUAUAAUCGUCUUUGUAUAGGCUCCGUUUGAUAUUGAGGUACUAUAGCUUUUAAACUAAAGCUGUUGUAAAAAAAAAAAACCGUAAUGAUUAAAUAAAAGUUAAUAGUAUGUAGUAAAUGUAAUUUUUAAAUAAAAUUUUUGAUAAAAUUAUUAAAGAUAUAAUAGAUUUUUCAUCAUACAAAUGUGAAAUCAAACCAACUUUUAGCUUCUAAGAUACAGUAGCUAAUGUUUAUCAAAUAUUUUAGUAUUUUAACUUUUAAGUUAUAGUUGUCCAACCUCAAUAUCAAACGGGGCCACAUUAUAGAAGUUUCAUCCCUUGUCCAAAUAUAUAAACUCAUAACAAACUUUUAAUAAAUAAACUCAUCCUUUAGAUUAUUAAUUUAUUUGUUCUAUAAACUUUAAAGUGCAUCCAACAAGUCACAUUCAAAUCAGCUGAGGCUAAGUUCUUCUCCUUUUUAUAAUUUGCGCUCUCAUUUUUUUUAAUACGGAUAUGUUGUUAAGCCAUGUGGCGUAAUAGAGUUACUUUGGAAUGCACUGUAAAGACAAGUGGUUUAAUAACAUUAAAAUUUGACUAUUAAACCACACGGCUUAAAAGAAUGUCCACAUGGAAAAAAAAAAAAAAAAGAGGGUACUUGCACUAUAUAUAUAUUUGAAAUUUGGGAAAACUAUUAAACCACACUGUUUAAUAAUGUAAUGACAUUAACUAUUAAACCGUAUAGUUUAAUAGUUUUUGCGGACUUUAACAAAGUCUAGGAUCCUGAACCACUCUCUACACACACACGUAUUCAUUUCAAUUAAUUAUUAGAAUUAAUUUAAGUUGAAAGACAAACUUUUUUUAGGAAAUUAACAAAAUUAUCCCAAAAAUUUUAGGGUUUUUUAAAAUUAGCCAGUUAAUUUUUUUAUACCAUAUGUAGUCAAUUUCAACAUUUUUGGACAACAAUACCCUUGUCACUCCAAAACCUAAAAAACUAAACAUUCUCUUCACUCCUAAAUUCAGCAGCACGGUCUUGACCUUUCCAGCAACAAUUGAUGACAGUUGGACGAGCAUUUGACAAAAGCUUCAUCUUUGGCAUCAUGUAGUUGUAUUUCUGGCACUUAGACGACAGUUGGACGAGCAAUUGAUGGCAAUUUCAUCUCCAAAAGCAAGUUUUUUUUUUUUGUUUCAUUACGAUCGAACAAUCUUUUGAAUGUAAUUAAGUGUAUAUUUCAUGAUAGAUGAGUAUUAGAGUUAAUUUUCUAUGAAUUUUGGAAAGUAUUUAAUGAGAUUAUGAUUUGAGAAAAAUCGCACAUGAGGUGUUUGCUGCAAUGUCCAUUAGAUUUUGUUAUGUCAUUUUUUAUAGAUUAUGUUGUGGGCUUAUUGUGGCUCAGUGUGAAUCCAUGUUCCGCAUAGGGAUGGUAAUGGGGCAGACAUGAGUUGGAUCUACUCUGCUUCAAAUCCAGAUUCAUAAUAAAAAUUAAGAUCCGUAUCUGCUCCAGAUCCGUCAUAAAUCCAUAUUUUUCGCUUUAUAUCCAGAUCCAAAAAAGAAAUAAAUAUCUAUAUUUGCUCCAAAUCCGAAAAAAAAAUAAAAUCCGAAUAUACUCUAGAUCCGUCAUGAAUUCUAAAACUCAGCAAUAAAAAAGUAAUAAUUUUUUUGAAUGAAAAUUGAAGGUUAAAAUGUUUUGAUAACAAAUAAAUUAUAUAAUUUAUCUCAAAAUAUAAUAAAUAUUGUAGUUUAUACUUUUACACCAAAACAACAAAUAAGAAAGAUAAUAAAAUAUUCUUUAAAAGUAAUUGCAGGAGUAAGAUCAAUAUUAUAUUCUAUUAUUUCCUUCAUCAUUCUAAUAUCCACACACACCCACCCUUAUUCUUACAAUAUUAUAUAAUGACAUAUAAAUAAAAUAUUAUUUAUAUUCAGUGUUUUAUUAUGGCCAUAUUUGACUAAAUAUAUGAAUAACUAUAUUCUUUAAAAAUUAUUUGGCCAAUAUAGUAAAAUAAAUUGCCAAAUUAUAUUACUUGGCUUGCAAUUUGAAUAUUGCAUGUACAUAGUUUGGGGCUGACUGACCUUUAAAUUUACAAAACUAACCUUUAAGUUUUAAGAGUUUAAAUGCAUGAUAAAUACCACUAAUAUGCUAUGAAUAAAAUUUAUUAUCAUUAUAAUUCUACAAUUGUUAUGAAACUUUUAAAAUUAAAUUAAAUUAAAUUAAAAGAUGGGUGUGUGGAUAUGGAUAUGGAUUUAGAUAUUAUGAUAUAUCCAGACCUGCCCCAGAUCCGUCUUAGAUCCACACAUCAAUAUCCAAAUCCAAUCCAAAUUCAUUUUAAACCGACCAAAAUCUGAUCCGAUUGGAUUUGGAUCACCUGGAUCUUGGAUUGCCAUCCCUAGUUCCGUAAAGCAUAGCAAUGAAUUUUUGUGCGACGGGUGUUGCUUUGAUUUAGUGUGUCAGGCACCUGUCGCCUGGGAGAUAAGUGUAUGUCUCUCAAAAUCAUAGCAACUUGCUUGCUAUGAUUGCUAUGAUUUUGAGUGAUGGGCGUUGUCACCCUAAAGAUAGGUUGCUUGUCACUUAAAAUCAUAUUAAUAUACUUGCUGUGAUUUCGUGGGACAUGCUUUUAUCCCUCAGGAGACAGGUGUUUGUCGCUUAAAAUCAUAUUAACACACUUGUUGUGAUUUCAAGUGACAGACACUUGUCACUCAAAAUCACAACAAGCUUGUUGCUGUGAUUUCGUGCAUAGGGCACCUGUUGCACUAAAUCAAAGCAACACCCAUCACACUAAAAUCAAUUUUUUUGCUUUACCGAACACAUAUUGGCACCAUCCACAAUCAACCCAUAACACAAUCUAUCAAAAAUGAGAUAACAAAGUCUAAUAGGCAUUUCAACAAACAUCUCAUAUGUCAUUUUUCUCAAAUCAUAAUCUCAUUAAAUACUUUUAAAAUUCGUAGAAAAUUAACCCUAAUACUCAUCUAUCAUAAAAUAUACAUUUAAUUACAUUUAAAUGACGGUCCAAUCUUAAUGAACAAAAAAAAGGAACUUGCUUUGGGAGAUGAAGCUACCGUUAAUCGCCUGUCCAAUCACCGACAAAAUGUCAUAAAUAAAGUUGCGUGAUGCUGGAGAUGAAUCUGCCGUCAAACGCCUGUCCAACUAUUGUUGAUUUUUGCCGAAAAAGUCAAGACCAUGCUGCUGGAUUUAGGAGAGAAGAGAAGGUUCAAUUUUUUAGGUUUUGGAAUGACAAGGGUAUUGUUAUCCAAAAAUGUUGAAAUUGGCUACAUAGGGUAGAAAAAGUUCAACUAGCUAAUUCUAAAAUAUCCUAAAAUUUUGGGGUUAUUUUUGUAAAUUUCCUACUUUUUUUGUUGGGUGUAUGCGACGCUCAAAGUCAAAUCCACUUGGAUGAAUCUCAACCCAAAAUGUUUUGGGCCAAUGCCCAACUAUAGCCCAUGUUGUGAAGCAAAGUCUUACAAGAACAUGUCUUUACCCCUUUCCUUUUCCUUUUUCUUUCUUUCUUUUUUCAUAUCUUUUGACUAAAACAAGAGUCUCUCUCUCCGAUUCCAUAGCCCCAAGCGAAAUGAUACAACUCUUUGAAUUAUUGAAAAAGAUUAUUUUUUUUUUUAUGCUUAUGGAGUUAUUUUUCAGUUAAGUACAAUUAUUUGGGGACACCUAUUCCCAACUCUGGUGGUUAAUACCUCCAUUUUUCUUUGGAGAAGAUUCUUGAAUUGGGUUUCGAAUAGACUAUAUCAAUUAUUGACGACAGUUCAUCAUGAUAUUACUAGAAUUAUAUUGUAAUAUUCAAAAGUACAACCGUUAGGGCAUUGGAAUAUCAUGUAGAAAACAGAAACAAUUAAGCUUUAAAAGUUGACGAGGGACAAAUGCAAUCAUACAUAUUAACGAAUAGCUAUAUAUAUUACACAUCCUCAAACUCAUUUAUUCAGUACUCUAGUAAACGAGGCCUUACCAAUCAUGUUUCAUAUUCAUGAAUCAUAGUGUGUACAAUUUCUGAAUUAAGAUGCAAAUUUCGUAUUGUCUUCGAACUAAUACGACGCAUACAAGUGAUUUUUGUAUAAUUCAGCAUAUAUAAGUAUAACAAUAUUGUCAACCUAUCUUUUAUCAUGUAAAGACUCAAAUCUCAAUGAGCUGGAGAAGUUGCCAUUGAUUUUUUCAGUGAAAUGGCUCUUUUUGAACGUAAAUAUAAGUAAGAAAUAAUAAACUCAUCGUCUUAAUGUAAAAAAAUGCACAUUCUUCAACAGCUCAUUGAUAUAUGCAAACGGUUAAAAAGUGAGAUUAAUUGACAACGCAGCAUAUGAGUAAUUCAGAAAAGGCGAAAGUGGAGUUGGAGGGUGGGCAUAAAUGAAUUGGGUCCCAAGUGCCCCAAAUCAAGGGGUACAAAAACAAACGACGAAUUCCCAUUUGUUGUCGUGACCAAAAGAGUAGGAAACAAAGUUGAUUUGUCAUUGAGGGGCAUGUGAACCUGCACAUAAUAUUUUAAAAAAAAUAAUAAAGAGCAAAGCCAUGUGGAUCCAUGCUUUAACGUUAUUCCCAUGCAUCAACAUGUGAAUAUUGGCUCCAAAAUUUGUAAGCCACAAUAAUAUUAUGAGGAAGAAAAAAAAAACAAUAAUGAUACUAACCCUACCACCUUCUUCUUCUUCUUCUUCUUCUUCGUGCUCUUAUUGCAGAUUUUACAGGGCAAUGCACGAUGAUUUUCUUUUCCUUUCCAUUGUGGGGACCUAUUUGCAUGCACGCGAGCAUUGCGAUAUUGGGCUGAAAAUGCUUGUCUAAAUCGAGUGGUCAAACGAUGUUACGUUCCACCGUCCAUGCUUCUAACGUAAUCUCCAAUACUAUUUCAUGUCUCCAUCUUUCUUCAGUCAAAAAGAGGAUAUUGACUCAUAAUUCAUCAACAGUUGCUUCCACUCCAAUUUUCACUCCCCAUCUAAGAAAUUUUUAGGGUGAUUUUUAGUGUACAUUCUCUCUCUCUCUCUCUCUCUCUCUUUUUAUCAUGUGUAUUUGUUUGCGGAUAAAAUGUGGUGUGUUUUGAGUUCUUCUGUAUGUACUAUAAAAAUUAUUUUUUCUUUCAUUAGGUUCAAUCCAUUGCAGGCCUAGAUAUCACAGAACUGAUUUAAUUUUUGAUUGACUUCUGAUUAUAAAUGCAAGCAGAUUAUAAUAUAAUUAAAAAGAAAAAGAGAGGAGCUAUAAAUUAUCCCAUUCUUACUGUUAAAAUUAGAUGCUUUUGUUUUGUGCUACACAGUUGCUUUCAAAUUCCGAAAAAGCAGAAGAAAGAAAGAUUGGAUUAGGCAUCAAAUAAAAAAAAAAAAAAAAAAAAAAAAAAAAAAAAAAAAAAAAAAAAAAAAAAAAAAAAAAAAAAAAAAAAAAAAAAAAAAAAAAAAAAAAAAAAAAAAAAAAAAAAAAAAAAAAAAAAAAAAAAAAAAAAAAAAAAAAAAAAAAAAAAAA